rnacentral:lncRNA from 1 species
UUAUAAAAAUCCAACCCCAAGUUUACACUUUCGAAGCAUCAAUCUCCCAAAAAAGCCUGAACAUCUGAAGAACACUUUGAAACCAUCUCUCAUUGCUUACAUUAACAACCUUGUUCCUUUGUUGUCUGCGUUUGCAUUUAAGUUGGAAGAUUGCUAACCAUGUCUGGGCUUGUGGAUAAGUGGAGGACUGAGCUCGCCAAGCUACGUGAAAAGGGUCAAACCCUUUUCUCCAGUGGUUCAAGCCCUGCCGCUGCCAGUGGGGUUGAGUCUGGCCAGGUGGUUCAACAACAACAAGAAAGAAGCUCAAAUGGGUUAAUGCAAGUUUUUGUUACCCGAGUCAUGUGCUCCGAGGGUUCUGUUUCCAUGCUUGUCCAUUGCUUUAGCCCUUGAAACAGAGUUUGAUCGUUUAUUCAUGGUGUUCUUUUCUUUUCUUUUCUUUUUUUUCUUCUUUUUUCCUUUUUAAGUUUUGAAAUGAUUCGCUUGUGUAAAUACACCGCUAAGCCUAAUAAUUGUUCUACUUUUUUACUAUAAAUUAAACUGUCUUAAACCCAUAGUUUAUCUUCAUUUAGUAAAUCAUGGAAUUUUAUCUUCCAAUUCCUUCAUCUUUGAAUAUCAUGGAGAAAAUCCCAAUACCAUCAUAACACUUUGAAGUGAUCAAGUUUGAGAGUCAAUAAAUAUAACAAAAUAAUCAGGAGAAAAAGUGAAAAACAAUGGACUGAGGACAAGGAGGAAGACGGAAGACCUGAUUAAAAUGUCAAGUGGUCUAAGACAGGACUGCUAAGUAGAGUUCAUGGUGAAUAGAAAUCAAACUUCUGAUAAAGUUAUGUUCCACAAGGGUAACAAGAUACGAUACUUAAAAGAAAAAUAUGUAAGUAUGAGGCUGUCCUUACUUCCCCCAUUUCAUUGUCACUUCUGUCAGUUCAGUUCAGACUGCAGAUUUUGUCAAGGUGAUACUUCCCCUGGCUAAUCAAAAACCUGAGGACUGAAGCAGAAAUGCAGAAUUGAAGCCAAAUAGAGUUAGGGAAAACUAGAAUCUGCAGCCUGACAGGAUACUACAGCAAGUCUACUUCAAACCGGGGCCACGUGCUCAUUGCUCAGGGCCACUGUAUUUUAUUGAACUUUCCUACCUUCCGAGAAGGAAAACUAUUUUGUUGCUUACCUCCCUGUCCACGUGAACAACUAAAGGCUGUUCUAUUGAACCUUCCAGAGGAAAAAAGAAAGGAAGAAAACAUGGGCUCUAACUAUAACUGACAAAAGAUACCACACCAGCAGCCCACAACAUUAUAGAAGAAUUUCUUGUGUCUACUUUGCUUGUACCCAAUCAGGCGCCUGAUCCUCGUACGGGAAAGGUAUCAAAGGUCAAGCUGUAGAGAGAGGAGAGAUUGAGAAUCUCUCGUUUUCUUAAAUAGUGAAGACGGUAUGAGCAUAUACAUGGCAGAACUUUCACAUAGGAGAUAUUCAUAGCUGGGACUGGGGAAUAUCCAGUCCCCCAUCCUUUUCUACCAGUUUUAACCGUAUCUGGGGGCCGACCACACGCUGAUUUUUCCUUUCCAACUAGUCAAAGCCCACAUCCUCGACACCACUAAUAAAACACUUCGGUGGUUUUGUUAAAACCACAACUCUUUCUCAUUUUUCUUCUAUAUAAACCCAUUUAGUUCCCCUCUCUUUUCCUCAAACAAAAAGAGGAAAAGCAAAAGCAAGAGAACACAUUACCAAGAGAGAAAAAGAAAAUUUCUUUUUUCUUCAAUUUUUUGUGAGAAAAAAUGUCUGCAGUCGUAGGAGGGUGGAUGGAUGAGCUAGCAAAGCUCAAAGAGAAAGUCCGAGCAAGAAGGCCAUUCUUGUCAAGUGCCAAAAAAGACCAGCAGUUUGCCAAGGAAGGACAUGUUGAAGAGAAGGAAGCUAAAGAAGAUAACAAAGAAACCACAAUGUCAGAAGCUACUGUCUGUUUGCUUAUGGAUCGGUUUGUGCCUUGGUGAUUGAGAAAAAAAAAAAAGUGAUUAAGAAGUUCCAUUGUAACUUUUUUUCGAGCUUCUAAGUAAAAACAAGGUUUCUUAUCGUGCUUUGUGUAAUUAGAGUUGUUUUGUUGUGGAUAUGGUUUCAUUAAUAUGUUCAUGGCAGCUUUGCUUCGCAAUGUUCAUUUAUCUUGUACCCUUAGCUCUGUAUAUGAUUAGCUGUUCAUAGAACAAAGGAAUUCUUGGCACAAAAGUCAAAAGCUUUUCUGAUUUCUUCUCACCGUAUUCUUCUGCAAGUUAAAUUUGAAGCAUUGACAGUGAUUUAAAGCAUACAACAUGUCUUACACUGUUUCACCAUUGAGUUAUAUGGAUUUAGAACAAAAAAACCAAUAAAUAAAGGAAUCUGCACUAAUGGCAGAAAGAACCUUGGUUUCGGGUCUAAGAAUCUGAUUUCUCUACAUCUGACAUAUUCAAGUGGGGUUUUAUCUAUUUUCCAUUUGAAAGAGAAAAAAAAGGGGUCAUGAGGUUGAGCUUGCCUCAAUAUCCGUAGAGGACAAUUCAUUGUUAACAAAGCUAUAUUCAUAGUCAUUCCACUUACGAAUGUUCCUGGUGUAUCUCAGAGCUUCAUCAACAGAAUCAGGCUCCAAGCCGGUAACCAUUGAAACGUACAACUUACGACCAGUAAGAUCACUGAACAAUCUCUUGAACUUCACAGCGAUAUAGUGGAAGGCACGCUGUCCUAGUGUGGUGUGAUUAUUUCUGCUGCUGCAGUUGGUUGUUUGGUUAUGGUAAUUAUGGCUGAUAACUGGAUUGAAGUCAUGAAACCAUUCACAUCGAGUCAGGGGAACCUGCUCAAUCUUUUCUUCGAGCAGGUCAGCUUUGUUGAGUAUUAGAAGGAAGUCCUUUCCCUCAAAGGUUGGAUGGGUGACCAUACAUUCAAAAAGUUGCUUGCUUGCCAACAUUUUGUUUGUGAGAACUCCAUUUCUGUCUAGUGAGAACUCAUCAUAGUCGGUCAAGGAGACACAAAACAGGACCAUGUUAACGUCUUCAAACAUUUCCACCCACUUGCAGUUCUCCCCAAGGCUACUGGGAUGCAGUCUAAUGAGUUGGUACCUGCAGAUUCACAGAAUGAAAGGCUAAGCUACAUAAAUAUAUGUGAGUGCCCAGUAGUAGAUCUGCUCAGCUUUGAGGCUUGAAGCAUAUGAAGGAAACCUCUCUCUUUCCUUUCAUUACCAUGAAGACGGAGAUAAAGAGCAUUCCUUUGUUUUCCUCCUUUUUUCUAAAUAACAGAAAGGCCCCUAUGAAAGAUUCCUACUUUUGCCUGUAUGAAAGAUAAAUCUUUAUUUGAUACAAUAGGAAAAUGGAUUGCUUAAAUUCACCAAAGACGAACAUGAAAUCUUCCAAUGAUGCACUCUUCCUACUUUAAGGAUGUGUUAGAUGCAAUGAACUGUAAUUUGGUUGAAAAUAAUUUGAGUUGCUUGAGAUUGCAGCUGAUCAGUCAUCAACAUCACCAACAACUCGGUCUUUCUUUUUCAAGAUGAGAUUUACUCGGGACAUCACAAGGCAUCUAAACAAGUUUUAAGGCAUUUGUAGCAAAUAAAAGUAAAUAAUUUACGUAUAAAAUAGAAUAUAACUAACCUCGCUGAUGGGUCAUGCUGAUAACCAUCAAUAGAGCUUUCUUGUUCUAUUGUGGGAAAAGAGAAUUCCAUGCAAGAAAUUCCAUUGGAUGAUGUAAUUCCCUCAGCAUACAAGAUGUCCAUGUCAGAGGGCUCAUAAUCCAUGCUUGAGAUCUCAACAGCCUGAGAAGAAGAUAGCCUUAAACUAUCAGAGUUGCUAAGAAACCAGAAUUCAAUAAAGUGAAGAGUAGUCAUAGAAGUCACAAUGCUGCCAGAUCCUGCACCUUUCUUCUUCAAGCUUCAACAAAUUAACUAAAAAACUAGCAAUUUCAGCUGCCAAUUUAGUUUUAUCAAAAAGUUUUAGUUGGCAGGAUAAAGAAAUUGCUCACUGGCAGUGGCAGCAAACUUGAAGUAUACGGCAAACUAUGCAUGUUAUAAAAUUUAUACCACAGUAUAUAGAAUAGCUAACCAGGAAAGCAUCAGUAAACAAAUUAGACAAGCAUAUUUUAAUAUCCAAAAAGCACAAAAAAAGAAAAAAAAAGUUAAAAGGGAGAGGGGAGGUUAGAAGUUGGACCCCAUAGAGUGGGCUUACCCGUUCUAGGAAAUAAGUAGCCACUCUGGGCAGCAUUUCUAGUUCAUGCCUCCUGCUAUACGUGGCCUGAAAGGCUGCAUCAUUCCACAGCUCCCCAAUAAACGGUGCAUAUUCACGACUAGCAGCUGGGAAGAUGGCUUCCAAAUUACCAGACACCAUCACUUGUACAAGCCAAUCUGAGAAAGCUUUCAGUUUUCGGCAAAUGGAAUAUUUUGUUUGACCAUCAAUCUGGCUUGCACUGCCUGUAGUAAACAGAAAGCUCAAACUCUAUUCCAUAAUAAAGUCAAUUAUUCUAUGCCAAAUGCAAGUUUCCUCUAGCCCAAUAUAUUACAAGAAAUCCAAAUAAUACACAUCUAAAGUGCAAGAGCACAGCUACUACUACACUUUCAGAAAAAAAAAAAAAAAAGAAAUAAUAUACUAACAGUAAUAUAACUAAGGGCAUUUAGAUACAACAGAUACCAAUAAAAAUCCAUUUCACUGGUAAAUUUGUCUAUUAAACAUUUGAUUAUUAGUCUGCUGACAUUCUUGUUCUUUAUGUAUAAUAAUAGUGGGAAAACCUAAAAGUAAAUACCUGAAGCCUGUCCACUAAGGCUUUUACAGAUCAUCUUGCUACCUAUGAGGCUUAUCACAACUGAUUGAAGUAUUACAGGGGAGAAAGUUUAAAAGGUUUUCUUGAAAAUGUAUCUAUAAAUUAUAAACUAAUGUCAAAAAGGUUUAGAAUUAUAAUUUAAUAAGAAAAUUCUCAGAGAAAAGAAAAAAAAAAUUGGUGAAAUUGAGUACUGAACAAACCACUACUUAUUGUACCUGAAGAACCAGAUCCAUCAGCAAUCUGGCUUUUUCUAGUUUCUUGUAGGCUUUCUUCUUCGAACCGUUCUUGACCCUCAAGCAAUAUGCCGAAAUACCCAUACAAAUUGCUUUGGAUCAUCAACUUGAUGCUUUGGCGCUCAUCUUCAGAGAAAGAAAUAUUAUACAGAAUCUUGGCCUGAGAUAAGCAAGUAACAAAUUUAAUGCUUCAUUUAGAAAGCCUAUUCUGCAUUUCCAGUGUCACAAAACCAAAUUUAAUUGUCAUAAAUAUGAAGAAAAUUUUAAAUCAUAAUCAAAGAUAGUUGUGAGUAUAGAAGCAUUAAUGAGGAUUGAUUUACUUUCUUGAUCACCAAUUGCACUUUAACACAUUUAUAAUGGCUUAAGAAAUAGAAACAAUUCAAAAGGUUAUUGGAACAAGUUAGAAUUCAGGGCCUCUUCUUCUAGCGAUGAAAUGAAGGCAAAUAUGUUCCUUUUUCUUUUAGAUUUUCCAGGGUAAAUCUACAGACAAAAAUUACUUUAACUUAUCUUUUAAAGAAAACAGAAAAUUAAAUCUAUACAUUGUGUUUUCCCAAUUCCAUCACUCUUGUUCAAGCUCCUCAAUCCUUUAAACAAUCUAGGUUGUUGUCAAAGGCCUCUUUUCAUGGCUGAACUGAUGAGACCUAUCAAUUUUGGUUGACAAAGCCCAUUGGUAAGUCAGCUCAAGGUCCAAGAUCGCCAUCUUAGGAUGAAUGAUAGAAGAAAGGUAUAUGUUAAAAAAGCAAAAGUAACAUAAAUUCUAUUUACAGCCACCAAAAUGAGGGUAAAUGUUAGUUGAAAUGAGUUGCCUCCAUCGAUAUAUUACCUGCUUAUAUAUCGUACUUGUGCCAGACUUUUGAUAGCCAACUAGAAGAAGUUUGUGAAGAACUUGCUGCUCUAGGGUUUCCCGGCUGACAUCUUCUCCAGCAGGAUUCACAGUAACAGGAGGAACCGGCAAAGACAAGAGAGCACAAAAAAGCUUAACUCCCAUCUGAAAAUAAAAACCUAAUGUUAUUAUUGGUACAUGAUAUAAGGAAAAUAUAAUGCCUGCUGUAUGCAUAUCCACGUGCAUAUAUACCUUGUCCCAUAUAGGCCCCUUUACAUUCUUCUGACCCUCUUCCUGGUAGGAUCCAUCUGCACUUAGCCAAAAGCUAGGUUUUCCUUCACAAUGAACUCCUGCCAACUGCAAAUAUUUAACAAAAUGGCAUUGAACUUAAAUGUCUAAAAAAUCAUAAUUUAAAAAACUUAAUCAUGUACAGUAUAACAACCUGCAGCAUCCACAGCUCUUUUUUAGUAAUCUCUCGAUUAUUUAUAACUAUAUUUGCAUUUCCAUUGCUAGCAUUAGCCUUCAGGUGACCUCCAACAUUUAGCUGCGCAGUAAUAAUCUGGCAAGGCCCAUGUCCUUCCUGAUUGUUUAACAGAACAGUAGUUCAAUGUUAAUGCAACAGAUUGGAAGUUAGAAUAGUUCCUUUUUUUAAAAAAAAAAAAUAGAAAAAAAGAAAAGGAAAGGAAGGACAUGAACAAAGUCUGGUUAUUACCUUUCCCCAAAGACCAGAUAAUUUAUCAUACCAAUAGAAUCCUGGUUUUAGCUUUCUUGGCGGGUUUUGGCAGAUCUGCAAAUUAUGCAACUCAUCUUGACUCAGUGGCUCUCCAUUCACAACAACCAGCUCAGGUGGUAACUGGUUUGCCUCACACGUUUUCUCGGAACUCAUUGCCUGUUGAACUUCCAACUCAUUGAGCAGCCGCUUGAGCAGCCGAGAACAUUUUCCAAGAGUUUCUCGCCUUGACUCAUUUAUCUUCUUACCGAUGCAAGUAACACAUUUUCUUCCCUCUGGCAUCGACCCCAUUGCUUUCAGUACACACUUAUAACAAUACUUAGCAUUACAAACAAUGCAAAUCUCCUUUUCUGUAAACCGGUUUCCCUUUAAGCACCUAUAGCAUGACCCCUUUUUCCCGUUCCUUGCAAUGGGUUGUGCAGCAUCGAUGCUUUCUGUCUCAUAAUAGCUGGAAUCUUCCUGAACCAUUGCACCUGAUUCAGGAUCAAGGAAAGUUACAACGGAUGGUCUUCUGACAUGGCAAGGAGUCUCAUUGUUAGCAUCCUCUACAACGGAUGGUCUUCUGACAUGGCAAGGAGUCUCAUUGUUACCAUCCUCCCCCUUUUGGAAAGAGACAUCAGAUGAUGAAAGCACAGGUGAGCUUGAAACUGACUCUGUUGUAUCAGAAUCAGGAGGAUCCAUAUACUUCUGCAACCCUAAGCCUUCCUCACCAUGAUCAGUAAGCUCCAACUCUGCCAACCCUCCUGAUGAUUUUUGCAAACUAUCAUGAACAACAGAAAUUUCCAGGUUACCAGAACUUCCCAUUCCAUCACAUAAUUUCGUUCUGCACCCACCAUCAAUUCCCUGACCUAAUGUAUCCAAGCUAUCAACUUGAAUUGAUGAUUCAUUGGACACACCAGGACGAUCAAUGGAUUUUCGAGCUGAGCCAGGUCGAGAACCAAAUUUUUUAUCUUCGGACCAUUUUUGCUUCACUGGAUUAGCCUUUACAAUUGGUUGGAUAACUGGCACUGAAUUCUCAUUCAAAACAUAGGAAGAGGAAACUGUGGCAGCAGUGGGGAGUUGGUCAACGUCCACCGGAACUGCUUUGGGGAUAUCAUAAGGGACCGGAGGACCAUGGUACUCAAUAGCAAAUGAGUAUUCAACAUUAUCGUUAUCAUUAUCGUCAUCUUGAGCAGUUGAUUUCCCAACAGGAAGAAUUUUCCUUAAAAGGCCAGCCAUCGCUUCUUUAAGUCUCAAUUUCAAGAAUCAAGCCACCAAUCCCAAUCCCAUAAACCCAAGAAAAAUAACCAAUUAUCUCAAAAACCCAUGAAGCAAACCAAAAAACCUCAAAUUCCCAUGAAGAAAAAACAGCCUACAUCAGAAACCCAUGAAGCAUAUCCCCCGACAACCAAAAGAAUCAAACUUUAACACCCAUUAGCCACCAGAACUACAAUCUGCUAACAACCUAUUCAAACAAUCAAAUAAAGCUAUUUUCUUUCCCUUCAUCACCUACAAAAGACCCUCCGUUUUUUUGUUCUUCUCUUUCUUUGAGGUCUAAAAGACAAAACAACUAAAAAGGAAGAUGGGAAACCUACAGGGAUUGGCCCAUAGAAGUGAAACUGGGAAAUUUCCCAGAGAAAUGAGAAUGAAAAUGGUUGCAAACAAUAAUAAAGAAGAAUGAAAAUGCCGAGUCUUCCCUUACCAGUAAACGAUGGAGACUGGAGAGAUGACUGACUGGACAUAAUUGUCUUUGAAUUAUUCAUUGUUUUUCCACGUCAACACGCUGGAGAAGAAACUGCUGGGAAACACGAAGGGGGAGAGGAAAAUUGGAGGGCGCUUUCUUUGCUUGAAAAUGUGUCAAUGUCAAAGGAGAAUUAAUAAAAACAGUGUCGAGUGGAGAACGACCGAAUGCGGAGGCCAAUUGGUUAUGACGCCAUUUUGGAAUUACGUCACCUAACGUUAUGUUUGGAUGCCGAGUAAAUUAAGAAAAUGACGAGAAAAUUUGGAGAAAAUGAAAAGAAAUGCAAUAAUUAAGGAAAAAUGAGAGAUUUUCUCUCUAUUUGGGAGGAAAUUUAAUCUUUGUUUAUAUAGAGAGAUGAUGGCAUACUUCCUUUACUAAUAAAAGUUUUUUACUCAAUGUUUCGUUUAGAAUUUAGUAAAUUUUUAAUAUUAAUAUUACUUUUAUUAAUAAAUAAUUUAUUUACAUAAUUAAGAUAAAAAAUUCAAGAUUUACUAUUUAAAAGUUAAAGUUUUUUUUAUUACUAAAUAUGAAAUCUAAAACUCGACAGUCAAAUUAUGGAAACGACACCAAACAAAGAAAUUUUUUUAAUUUACUUAUGUGAUUCCAAGGGAAAACUUUUUACUUCUUGAACCAAUUUUUUAAAAUAAUUAAAACAUAUGGAUAAGUUUUAAUUUCAAAGUCAAAAAGUAUUUACAAGUUUAUUUUUCAUAUUUUCUCCAUUCCAUGAAACUUUUACGGCCAUAUUUUACUCAAAAUAUCAUAAAAAAAUUCGUAUAAUGUAAUUAACUUUAUAAAAAUACUGAUAAACGAUAAAAAAGAGUGCGAUUAAAAAAAUGAUAAUAUUAAAAGAAAAAAAUACUAUCGUAAGUCAAAUUUGUUAUAACGUUAGGAAAGUGAAAGGUGGAAGGAGAAAGUAUGGAAAGAAGGAAAAAUAUGAAGUGUUUCUUAUUAAAUUAACCGCUUCCUUAAUUUCAAUUUAUUGCUGUUUAAUUAGUAAAGAUUAAAUAAAAAGGAAAGGAAUAUAAAAGAUUAAGACGUGUUUGGCACACGUAAUUUGGGUCUUUGUCUGACUUGGUAAACAAAUAGGGAAGAGUUUGAGUUGAGGAAGUCUUUUGCUUGGUGAAAAGGUCCAUUUGUCACCAGGUUUGAACUCGUAAUUGGAAAAUUCUUAAUAUAAUAAAGUUAUUAAAACUAUUAAAACGACUUUAUUAGUUGAUUGGGAUUUGCACUUGAGGUAAUAAAAUAUAAUUUUUCUUUUUGUUUUUAAUUUUUAUUGUAUUAUAAAUAUAUCGUUUAAAAUAUAAUAUUUCGAACUUAUAACAUGGAUUAUGCACUAAUUCAAUACUAAAACUAAAAUUAGUAAAAAACGACUUAAUUUGUUAAUUCGGAUUUGUAUUUGAAGUUAUAAAGUAAAGAUUCUUUUGUCUUUAAGAUUACUAUUAUCGUGUAAUAAAUAUAUUAUUUAAAACAUAAUGUCUCGAAUGCAAUAAUAUAUGAUGUCUCGAUUGACUUUGCACUACUUUAUUUCUAAUCAAAUGAAUGAAUUGGUCAAUGUAUGCCUUUUCUUUUUGGAAAAAAUAAAAUAAAAUUCAAAAUUUGACAUAUAAGUGAAGUAAAUAAAAAGACAAAAAGGAAAACUCAAUCACAAUGCCAAAAGGUGCGGUUGAAGAGGACAAUUUUGGUAGAAACUAGUGCAUGUUUCACCCAUUGAUUAAGGUCUUAUCUUUGACUUGGUAAAUGAUGAAGAGGAUUGGCACAUGGGAUUCGCUUUGAAAAUGUUUAAUGUGAAUUUUCUUUUUCCAUUGACAUUUUUCACGAGUAUCACCUUUUUUUAAAAAGAAUUAAGAAAAAGAAAUUCAAACCGUAUUUUUUAAAUAAAGAGAUCAUACAUCAAUUAAUAAAUUAAAUGCUCGAGUAUAGUACUGACUUCUCAUUGCCGAGAGAGGAAGGUUUUGGAUGUAUUUAUUAAUCUUGUUUAGAAAAAUAAUUCAAAGUUGCAUAUGGGACUUGGAAGUUAAAAAUCAAUAUUAUAACUAAAAGUAAUGUGAAAUCGUUUAAUAAAAUUUCAUUUUUCGGUAUUUAAAAAAAAAGAAAAAUAAAGUUAAAAAUUAGUAAAUUGGAACAGCUUAAUGUCAAAAAUAAUGACAGAUGGGUGUGAGUAGUUUAUUAGGACUUGAGAAACUUGAACAAAGUGUUCCUUAAGGCCCAUUAUUCUUUGGGUCAUAACAAGCCCAUGGGUUGGAACUUCAUUAACCCAAAAUAAAAUUAAAUCCAAUUAAAUUCUUUUGGGAUAAAUGAAAACCUCAAAAUCUUUCUCAAUUUAUAUUCACAGUUGAAACCAUCCAAAAUUGCUUGUCAAUUUCUAUGGAUAUUAAUAAAUGGCUGAACCCAGGCCAUUAAAUUUCAUUUCUUGCUGAGUCCUUGCAAGAAGACAAGCUAUAUUUAUGGUGAUAAAGUGAGUCAGUGACAUCUUAAUUUAUCAUUAUUUCGAUCAAUUUGAUUAAUUUUAACUAUUAAUAAUACGUAUAAUAUUUUUAAAAUAUUUUGCUUAACGUUUCAUUAACAAAGCAUAAAUGUUUUUAAUUUAAUCGUGUAUAUAUAUAUAUAUAUUAAAAAAAUUAAUAAUAAAUAAAUGUAUAUUUAAAAAGUAUAAAUACUCAUGAUCGAUUUUUCAAUCGAUAGAAAUAAUCAAAUAAAUCUAACUUUAUAAUCAAUUAGUAUCAAAAUAGAAAAAUUUGAAUCGAAUUAAUUAAGUUCAAUCAAUUUUGAUAGAUUAUUUUGAUUUGUAACAUAAUACUCAUUUUAAACAAAUUUGAUAAUCACUUUUGGUAAUCAUCUGGUUGCAUAUCAAUUGGUCAAUGCAUGAUUUUAAUAUGGGAUUAAAAGCUUGGAAAAUAAUGUGGUUUUACUCAAGAUUAAAGCGUACGCUAUUUAACCAAAACAUGACACACAUGUACAUGUACAUGUAUGAUAAGCUAUUAAACUUCUCUAAUUUAUUGUCCAACAAAGUCAACUAAAUCAAUUCAGAUACUAAGGCUAGACUUAGUUGGAAUUGGGAUAAAGUUCAUCCUCAAAUAAUUUAGUUAUACUAAGGCUGCUUAAAAUAUGUAGGCGCCAACAUUGCAAUUGCAGCAUACGAUUUGAUGGGUCUCUUUCACAAUUAAUGGAGUGAAAAAAAAUCAACUCCCAAGUUUGUUCAAAUUUGUAAACAACAAGUUACAAAGUCACGAAACUAGUGAUUUUCGCCUCGACAUACUUAUCAAGGUAGAUCAAAUGUGGUGACAGGGAUUAACGAUCGCUAUCUCUUUAUUUUUAAUUUUAUUCAAAUCAAAUCAUUAACUUAAUUUAUAAUAUUAUAUAAUUAUCUUUUAAUCAUCUUUCACAUAAAGUACUAAAUCUGAUACUCAUACUCAUAAAAGAUCACAUUACAUCAAAUAGUAGAGUAAAUGAAGCGAAUUAGAAAUUGGAAAACUGCAAAGUGAGUUGGAAGAGGAACACCAAAAAGUCAUUUACCAAAUCAAUGCAUUUUGUCAACCUUGGGCUAUAAGUAAUGUACUUUUCAAUAGUGAGGCGCCUCCCACCCCUUUUUAGCAACAAUUCUUGGAGGCAAAAUACGUGCUUUUCAUACAUUUACAUAAAGGCAGCAAACAAAAUUAAAGCAAAUAAUUGUUUUUUUCUUUGUGCUAGGACUUCGAAAAUUCGGAAUAUCCAUUUUUUAACUUUUUUUUCCCGAUGUGGCACUCUGACAUUGGUUAAAGUCAUUCGAUUUGUACAGGUGGCGCCGUCCACACCUACCAAAAGUGACUUCGAGGGGAAGGCUCGAAUCAGACAGGGACCACGACGCGGCGCCAUGCAACUUUCUGAGAUGCCGUGGCUCCGCGUGCUACUGUUCCUUCGUUUUCUACCCUUUUUUUUUUCACUUUGACAGUGCCUGCUUCAGCCGGUUACCUCUUUCCCAUCACAGCGUCAUCAUUGGCCGCGUACCCGUUGAGGUAACCAUGUUUGAUCUCCUUCAAGUCCGGAGCGUGUUCCGACACGCGCCACACCUUGACGGACUUGUCCAGGCUGCCACUGUAAACAAUCCACUUUCGAUCAGCCUUGGUUGAUGUUUGGUGGUCUUCUUCAACGGCUAGGCAUUUGACGGGGCCGGUGUGACCUGUUAAGACAGAAAGGCACGUGUGAAUUCCACCUUGUUCUCUUCUCCACACGCAUAUGCUCUUAUCGGCUGACCCGCUAAACACCAAAUUCCCGGCUGUCGCCAAGCACAGCACUGCCAUUUUAUGGCCCCUAAGGACCCCGCCAUGUGACAGGUGCUUUUCACGUUCCCAGAAGUUGACAAGCCCAUCAGACGAUCCGCAAUACAGCACAGCUGAUUCUUGGCUCACAGCCAGUGCUGUCACAGCGUUUUCUUGCUUCAACAACAAUUGAACCAGGAAAUGUUGGGUCCCUUGCCCCUGCAACUCUCUCUUCCAUACCUUGACUGUCCCAUCUGCCGACCCCGUAAAGACCAGGCUAUCGAAUCCUGCCACGACAGAAUUUAUGGCGUCAUCAUGAGCGUCGAUGGAUUCCAAGCAUUUCGAGUUCGCCAGUAGCCAAACUUUCAAGGUUUUAUCCCAAGAUCCUGAGUAUAACAACCCAAGCUCUUCGUUCAAGCUCAAGCAAGAAACAGCGUCGAAGUGCUUGAUUCGCAGAACGCUACGUUUCCUCCGAACUUCAACGUAGUUCUUGGGUUUAACGGAGCUUUUAAUUAUAUCUUUCAAAGUUGGCAAACUACCGAAUCUUUUGUGGACACUAGGGUUUGUAGAUGAAACGUUCCAGACACGGAUUUUACCGUCUUGAUGACCAGUGAAGAUCCUAUCACCCAAAACAAUAAUGGCUUUAACCAAGCCACUUUUAGCUUUAAAACCUGAAAACUCCUUCAAGCUCUUCCACACGCGGAUGUUCUUGCUAUCAGAACCCGUGUAUAACAAAUCUCGAGAAGCAGCUAACGAAUAAAUAUGACCUUCUUCUCGUACAAUGGACCCAAUAAGCCCGUUUUGGCCAAAAUCAUUCUCGAGUGGAGAUGGGGCGAUCCAUGGAGAUUUGUUGUACGGAGAAGGUUGGUUCCAUGGUGACAUAAUGUAAGGAGAACCCUCGCCGCUUGUCGUUGUGCAGUUGGAAUUCCUCGGGCUUGCCAAAGAGGCACUGCUUUUGCUAUUGGGGAACACGUCUUCUACAACAACGCUAUUUUUCACAGAAAACAAAGAAGGUUCGGAUUGUUGGAAGAGAGAACUCAGAUUUGGUCGUUUAUGGAGGCUGUUUCGCUCCAUAACCAUCGUUUCACCACCGUCGUUUCUCAUCUGUUUCCUGAUAAAAUUAACAAUGAGAAAUAAACUGAAAAUUGGACAAGAAAUUUGAUAUAAAAUGAAGGGAUAGGAGAAAAAAUUUGAGUGUUUGCUUCUAAUUUCUUUGCUUUUGAUAGGAUUACAGAGACUGGAAAAAUGGUCGGGCAAAAGGAGUAUAUAUAUAGAUGGGAAUGAAUAGUGGUAGGUAAUCUGAGGCUCUGGGUUCUUGACACGUGGUGGGAUGAAUCGUAAUCAUUACGAACCGGCAAACCGGGUGUGCCCGUAACAAGGAAACUACAAUAAAGUUGGAAAUGAAAUUUCUCUUUCUUUUUGUUUUCUUUUUCUGUUCAUUGUAUUAUUGUUUUCUAGUGGUAGUAACAGAUAAUUGCUUGGAUCUUCGCAACGUUUAAUCUUCACACGUCAGGAUUAGCAAAAUUUUGAAAUUUAAAAAUAGAAAUUCCUUUGGAUUUCCCAAAGGAGAAAAAGGGUUUUGUUGCAUGUGAAAGGGUUAGGAGACUAGAAGUUUGACCAUAAGUUUUCAUAGUUAGGAAGAUAUUGACCAUUGAAAUUUUGAAAUAGUCAAAAACAUGCAAGUACGUAAUGCAAAACCCUUUCCUAAAAAAACAAAAACAAGUUGUUUCUGCCUUAAUUUCUCGUAGUGAUAUUUCGUAAUUAAGUGAUAAUUUAUAAAUAUUAUAUAUCGAUGAUAUAUCAAUAUAAAUUCAAUAACAUUUUUUACAUUGGGAAAGCUUAAUAGUAAAUCAAAGAUUCUUUAUUAAGAUAGGGUUUUCCUUUUUAGGAUUUAAAGUAAAUAAAGGAUGUUAGGCAAAGCUUUGUUUUCCUUUUUUUCUCUUUUUAAUUUUGGUUAUUCUUGUGUCUUUUUCCAAGCCUUUACACCCUUUCAUUACGAAGCAACAUUUCAUGUUAGCUUUAUUCUUGAGCAAUCUUUAAUGCUAUGAAAGUCUUGUAUUCAAGUUUAAGGCUUAGAGGUAGAUAGGACACGUAUAUAAUUAAGUACAUAAAAGAAUGGCAGAUUGAUUUAACUUUCAUUUCUUCAUAAUUACCUAUCUUGUUCUUGUAUAUGACUAAUUUUUUGUAAAGCAAACUUCAGUGCAUUAAUUAUAAUUAAACCAUACAAGCAUGCAAAUUACACCCUGUUACCGCCACUCUAAAUUAAUUAAUAAAAAACAUAAAAUCAUGAGUUUUUUGAAUACUAGAAUUGACAAAAUCAUCAAUCAAUUCAUUUGUAGUUUAAACAAUAUGAUAUAUUUGUCAAACUAAGUUUAUAAUUAAUUAAGCUAAUGUAUGGAUAGCAUCAUUUGUUCUCUCGAUUCUUACUCUCAUUCCUUAAUCCAUAUAAAGUUUGAACUAAUUAAACAAAUCCGAACAGAACCAAUCAUUUACAUGUGGGAUAACAUAGAAAGAUCCAUGGCUGAAUGGAAUGCAUGUGAGGUGGAGAUAUAUGAUCAUACAUGGAUUACUCUAGAUCAGUUGCCCAUGUUUAUCAGAAAUAAUGAUGCUUUAUCGGAUCGAGCGCUCCUUCAUACCCUAAUGUAACGUUCUGCUUGUCCUUUGCAAAGGUGAUUGGGAGGUUAUUUUCACUAUUAUUAGCACGCUGAUUGAAACAUCAAGCCAUUGUGUUUCAUAUCAGUAGUGCACCUUUUCACAAUAGUGGCAAACAAAGAAAUCAACUGAAAACAAAGCCUAUGGCGACGAUUCAAGCCAAUUAGAGACCCCCCCCCCCCCCCCAUGCUUUGCUUUUAGUGCCUUUGGAAGUAGACCCUCGCAGCUUCCAUCAGCAUAGAUUGAUCUGUAUCUGUACUAUAUUCUAUUACCACCAAAGGACAUGCCAUUCCACCAUAAAUUUUAGCUUACAAUUUUCUUCUUAUCCUUUUCUUAGGGUAAUUAUCUUCUUGAUCAAAUUCCUCGAAAAUAAUCAACAUAACAGAUCGGCAGUAAGUUUUUAAUAUAUAUAAACGUGAUAACCAUAGUUUCUCUUUUUGUGGAAACUUCAAUUUCGAGUUUCACAUGACAUAAAACGAUAGCAAUCUUGCUCAAGUACUCUCUAGCCGUGUACAAGUUCGGUGAACCACACACACUUUGUUGUUGUCCUGUAGAAAGUCCAAGGCUAACGAACCGUGUCGCCUGCGCCUCAGAAACCAUUUUUGGUUUUCACGUUCUCGAGCUGCUAAAAUUUGUCAAAGGAUCUUGAAUGGCUGCCACCUGCAAUUCCUGAUUGGUAGAGACAACGACCUUCUUCAUCCCAUCCCACGAACGCCAGCCGCCACGAAAUUUGUUCUUCACAUUAUUGAACUAAUUUGGGUAUGCUUUCUUCUUGCCACGUAAUCCAUGCUGGCCAAUGGCAUGUCUACAUGUGUCGUCUGGACAGGUCACACCACGUUAGCAUGAUGGCAUAUGUUGAGGUUCUUAAUCAACGGGGACAAAGAUACUUGUCUGGGGCAACCAAACAUGUGAAGCUAUUUGCCUUACGUCACUCCUAUAUAUAUGGGUAUAUAUACGCUACUUAAAAUUAAUAAUAUAAAGUUGCUGGUCGGCAUAACAUUGUAUAUCAUGUAUUUAUUCAAUGUAUAUCCUACUGUUGCUGGUAGUUGUGGCAUAUUAAUUUCCUUAUAGAAGCUUUUUUGAAAUUUUGGGUCACGUUUUUCUAAAAAAAUGGUUGUUGACUUUUAGCAGAACCAGCCAACUUGAAUUAUAAGAGUGAAAUUGACGUACCACGUAUAAAUAAAUGUUCACAUAAUUUUAAUUAUUACAACAAAAAAAAAAUAGUUAAAAUCACUUAAAGUACCUUCUCUCUCUCUAGAAGCGUUACGAUGUAGCAUAUAGUAUAUUUUCACCUAACAUUUUUGUUUUAUAAAUUCGUUUCUUUUUUUUUAUUAAUAUCUAAAUUUAAUUUUUUUUAUUGUUUGAAGCAGAAUUAACUAGAAGAGAUGAUAAGUUAAUACGUGUGCAUUAAAAGGUUUUAUAUUUUAAUCAAUUUUAUUCCUAGUGUAGGGACUAUACUAUAUAUGUUGUCAAUUUUAUUCACGGAAAAUUAAGUAUAAUUUAAGUUUAUAUCUAGGACACUUGGCUCCUGUUUAAAAGUCUAUAGCCAUUGCAAAAAGUAUAAAGGGCAAAUUCCCUAGUUAAAAGAGACGAAAUUCCCAUUUCGUUUUUAAACACUUAAUGUUGUUAUUUUUUAUAUUAUAAAUUUAUUUUUCAUAAUAUUUUUUAUAUUUAAAAACAUCGAACAUCUAUAUUAUAAUUUUUUCAAAAUUUUAUAUAAAAUGCAUUAAAAUAAAAAAAAAUCUUAGUCUGCGUAAAAAUUAAAGUAAAACACUUCAGAAGUCAAAUUAAAUAAAGUCCUAAAUAGAAGCUUAGCUCAUGCUUGUCUGCUAAUCAUCCAACCAAUGCAUUUCCAGUCUGCUAAUCAAAGGAUAUCCCCAAGAAAAUGGAAAGUUGAAAUUGGGAGAAAAAUGGAUCUGAAAGAUGGCAAGUGCCAUCUGUUUUAUUUUACGUAGAUAAUUUAAUGUAACAAAUGUCAUCAUUUCCUUAUCAAAAUCCUAGUUUUCCAGUACCUUUCGGGCUGUCCACUGAUCAACAAACACCUUCCAAUUGCUUGGCAAAAUAUAGCAAGGUUUACCCAGAUCAGAUGAUCAUCCCCUAAAAAAAAAUAUAAUUAGAUGUUGAUUUUCUAUUGGGAAUUAAUUGCUUUAUUAGUUUACCAAAUUAUUUUAUUUUUUGUCUGCUCAUCAUCAAACACGUUUCCUGAGUGAUGAACAAGCCCCCAUAUCAUUUAAUGGCUAUAAGAUCUUUUUAUGUCAAGAAGUAAUUAAUAAGAUUACAUAAGCAUGAACCUGAGAAAAUUUGGAUUCUAGCAUGUGGCAGUCAGCUACUAAAUUAAUCGAUAAUAAUCAUCUUUAACUUUAAUUAUUAUUUAUAUUUUUAUAUAUUUUUUGAAGAUCACCUUUUGUAUUCCAAGAUUAAUGAAGUCAUAAACAAGAAGAAUUGGUAAGAAGAAAACAGCAUCGAGGAUUAAGUGCAUAUUAAAGAAUUGGAUUAUUUUUUUAUUGAAUUUAUUGUACGCUAUUAUAACUUGUCUGAGGUGACUGAACAUGUUCGAUGUUCCCGUACUGUGAACAACAUCACAAGAAAUUUAGAUAUUUUCGAUGAAAUAUUUUUUAUUAAAAAAAUUAUGAUAUUCAAAGAGUGAUAUCCAUAUUUAUUCGAAUUCAAAACAGAUAUUAAAUAAUUGUGUCUUGAAAAUACUUAUUAAACAAUACGUAUUAUCAUUUUUAAUUAUUGAUUAUUUUUUUAUUAAUUUAUAAUAAAAUUUUAACAAAAUAUUGAUAAAUUUACCUACAAAAUUUAUUAUAGUUCCAUAAUGUCUUGUAUAGGAUCCAAUUACGUAACCAAGGAAUGAAAAUUAUACACUUACAAGUGUGAAGGAAAAGUAUAAUAUGAACAAAAUGGUGGCAUGUGAAACGUGUCACUAAUUACUGGGAGGAUUUGUCUACGCUAUGCAAAAUUAUCAAACACGCUUCACUGCUGCUGAAAUUCGAUGCCAACUAAUUAAGAAAUUUCAGUAAUUCAUAGUCAGCUUCGGCUGCUAAUCUCAAUCUGCCAAUCCAAUCCGAUGAUGGAUUGCCGUGGCUGUUUGAUCCAGUUCAAGAAUGCUUGUUCAUGACUAUGCCAAGUGCUAACAUACUGAAACUUGGCAAUUAAGUUUUGAUGACUUAUAACCUCUGUUCUUGUCCUUGAAACAGUGACGAUCCGUGAUUAAGGAGGACAUGUACUUCUUUGAAAUCUUUUUCAAACCUUUAAAGACAGAUCCAUGAUGGGUUAUGGGUGACUUACAGCCACAGGGUUAGUAUUCAUGCUCUUUGGGAAGAACAAGUGUAGACUUCAAUGACAGUAACAUCAUGCUUACUUUAAAGACUCUCACUCUCAUGGCCUCACCCCAGAUAUCUUUUCUGCCAGAACCAGUCUUUUCCCAUUGCUUCCGAACAAGAAAAGAGGUGCAAAUUCGUUUGCAGGUCAGCCCAUCACAAUUAUGUCUUGUGUCUUUCCUUCUAAUGGAAGUACUAUACUACUAACAUAGUUUGCUACUGUUCCAAAAUUGCUUUUCUUGUUCUAGAAAUGGACGAUGGUCGAUGCAUUUGCCAAUAACGGUGACAUGAAAGAGACAAAUGAACAUUAGACAACAACAAAGCUAGCCCUACAAUUCGUCUACUCUUUCAGCAGUAAAGUGGCUAAGGUCCCAUCCCCAAUAAUGUCAAAAGUGCUGAUGCUACAUUGCCUCAAAAUAUUUUUUUUGUCUCCAAAUUAACCCAUCUCCCCCAUUCCGAUACGUAGACACUAUAAAAAAGAAAAAUCAUAAUAAAUUUUAUUAAUUAAAAAUAAAUGAAAAUAUAAACAAAAAAAGAAAAAAAACAAAAAAGAAGAAAAUGGGAGAGGGUACGACUGGCAGGGUGUGGACGCACCCUGCCAGGCACUUCCCUCACCCUGCCAGACACGAAAAAUUCACGUCUGGCAGGGUGGUGGAGGCACUACACUCGACCAAAAGCUGAGUGUAUAAAGUCCCACUGUAGAAUCAGCAAGCGGAGGAAUCAAAAAUCAGAAAAACCCAAGCAGCAUCAAGAAUAAAAAAUCCCUAGUAAGCUUCCUAGCAGCCACAAAUCCACAACCAAAAAACAAAAAAAAUCAUCAAAAAAUACAAUGAGAAAUGAGGGUUGAUAGCUCGUUUUAAAGGGAAGCUUUGGAUGGGGUUUUAGUACUGUCGGCUGUGGGAGUUGGAUUUGGGUUUUGGGUAGUUUAAAUCGGGGGGCAAAAAAAUCUGAAACCAAGAAACAACCUGCAAGCCAAAAAAUAAUCGAAAAAAUAAAAAAUCCUAGCCCCUAGCAGCCGAAUACCACAACCAAGUUUUUUCUACUCUUCUAACAACCAUAAUCAACCACAAAUACAAAAGAAUAUACCAAACAAUAUCGAAAAAAUACAAAAAAAUGUGUGCAGUGAGAAUGUCGCCGAUUAGGGAGUAAAUUAGAGAGAGAGAGUUGAGGCUCGGACGACUACCGGCUAGGGAGAAACCCGAUCAGUGCCAAGGAGGAAAGCCGGCAAAGCAAAGAGAGAGAGAGAGAGAGAGAGAGAGAGAGAGAGAGAGAGAGAGAGAGAGAGAGAGAGAGAGAGAGNNNNNNNNNNNNNNNNNNNNNNNNNNNNNNNNNNNNNNNNNNNNNNNNNNNNNNNNNNNNNNNNNNNNNNNNNNNNNNNNNNNNNNNNNNNNNNNNNNNNNNNNNNNNNNNNNNNNNNNNNNNNNNNNNNNNNNNNNNNNNNNNNNNNNNNNNNNNNNNNNNNNNNNNNNNNNNNNNNNNNNNNNNNNNNNNNNNNNNNNNNNNNNNNNNNNNNNNNNNNNNNNNNNNNNNNNNNNNNNNNNNNNNNNNNNNNNNNNNNNNNNNNNNNNNNNNNNNNNNNNNNNNNNNNNNNNNNNNNNNNNNNNNNNNNNNNNNNNNNNNNNNNNNNNNNNNNNNNNNNNNNNNNNNNNNNNNNNNNNNNNNNNNNNNNNNNNNNNNNNNNNNNNNNNNNNNNNNNNNNNNNNNNNNNNNNNNNNNNNNNNNNNNNNNNNNNNNNNNNNNNNNNNNNNNNNNNNNNNNNNNNNNNNNNNNNNNNNNNNNNNNNNNNNNNNNNNNNNNNNNNNNNNNNNNNNNNNNNNNNNNNNNNNNNNNNNNNNNNNNNNNNNNNNNNNNNNNNNNNNNNNNNNNNNNNNNNNNNNNNNNNNNNNNNNNNNNNNNNNNNNNNNNNNNNNNNNNNNNNNNNNNNNNNNNNNNNNNNNNNNNNNNNNNNNNNNNNNNNNNNNNNNNNNNNNNNNNNNNNNNNNNNNNNNNNNNNNNNNNNNNNNNNNNNNNNNNNNNNNNNNNNNNNNNNNNNNNNNNNNNNNNNNNNNNNNNNNNNNNNNNNNNNNNNNNNNNNNNNNNNNNNNNNNNNNNNNNNNNNNNNNNNNNNNUAUGGCUAGAUUCAAGAUAUAGUAUAAGAUGUAAGAGGGUCGAAAUGGGAGACAUAAUAAACUUCAUUAGAGAAAUUGAUAUAAAGAAAUUAUGAAUGGAAAUGAAUGAAAAAAUAAAAAAAAUUGUGGUAAAAUUAAAUAUGUAAUUAUCAAAGUAUUUAAAGGAGAUAGUUUAUAAAAUAGAUGUAGCUACAAAUAAAGGAAUAAUGAGAACAAGAGCAAAUAGAAGAAUUAUUCAAUUUUAAAUAAGACAAGUAAACAAUACCGAUGAUGGGAUGAUUGGUCGGGACACGAAGAAUCGCAAUCCCGAGCUAAUUUUCCCUAGGUUCGAAAUCUGAAUUAAGGCUCCACCAAUACGAUGGGAGGGUCUUGAUUUUGAGAUUCCGAAAUUUUUAUAAAUAAAAUUUAACUAUACAAAAUUUAUUCAAUAAAAAUAAUAAAUAAAUAACAAUAGAUAAAAAAUGAUAAAAAAUAAUAAUAAUUCAAAUAUAUAGUAAAUAAUUAAUUUGUGAAAAUGCAAUAUACAUGACAUUAAAUAAAUAAUAAAAAAAAAUCUAAAACAACAACUAAUUUAAAAUUAAGCAUUAAAUAUCAAGUGGCACAAACUAUGAAUUAAUAAAUAUUAUAAAAAAAAAUGUGAAGACAAAGGUAAGAAAGGAAAAAAAGAAUUAAAUAUAGAUAUAUAAAAUAAGAUUUUAGGCUUUAGGUUUGGAUAAAAGAUUGCUUACGAAAAAAUAUAAUAAUAAUAAAAAUAUAAAAAAUAUAAAAUAUAAAAUUUUUGUCACUAAAGUAACAUGGAAUCAUAAACAAUUUAUUUAAUUAUAAAAGAAAAAUAUAAGAGUAACUUAGAAUAAAAAUGUAAGAUAUAAAAAAUAAUAAUUAGAAAUAAAAUAGAAAAUAUGAUAAUAAAGAAUAAAAUAAAAUAAAAAUUAUAAUCAAAUAAUAAAAAAUACAAAAAAUACUAAUAAAAUAGAUAAUUGCAUUAGCCUAGCAUAUAUAUGUUACAUCAUGUAUACCAUUGCAUAUAAAUAUUUCUGUUUUCGAGUUUAAGCCCGAUGAUGGGAUCUUCCGAGAAUUUUACGAAGGCGGGUAUCCCUAGAAAAGCUCCCUAGGUGAAGAGGUGUCCCCGGGUCUCACCAGUAUGAUGGGAGGGCUCAAAAAAUAUCUUUAAUAAAAGGCUUUUGCCCGAAUUAGAUUCAUUGUACACGAAAAUAUUAUUUUUAAAGAAAAACGUACGAUGACCUCGAUGAUGAGAAUUAUUCGUUAAAUUUGUGAAGGUGAGUUUAUCGGAUAAUUCCCUAUGUGAGAGAACAUCUUGGAUCCCACCAGUAUGAUGGGCGGAUUCGGGAGAACGUCCUUGAUAAAAGGUUACUCGUCCGAUAUUUUUAUCUCACGUCAUGCAUCUUAUCUUGCCUCACAUUUGCAUUCCAUUUUAGGUUGAAUAGUAGAUAAAAUAAGUGAAUAAUAACUAAGGAAGUAUAGUGAACUUAAAAAUUAAAACCUAAUAGGAUAAUUUAAGAAUGGUACUGUUCAUGGAACAGGUGUCCCGGGAGUACUAAUUCUUCUUCGAACGCAACCGUACUCUCGAGCCUAAAUCUAGAAAAUCAUAGACCAGUUAAAGAUUCUUUUCAGUGGACUUAAAAUUAAUUUAAGACUUUAUCGAUUAGAAUCGAGUCAAUCGAUGAUCAAUCACACAUAAUAAAAAAGAUUAAUAAUGACUCUUAAUUUUUUAAUAUUUUUACAUCACGUUUGACAGUCGAAUUUUUAGGCCCGCAUGUUACGACACGAUCCCUUUGCUUUUUCUUAAGCAAAAUGGAAAGGACCUGGCAGGCAUUCUUCCAUUAUUGAUCCCCGUGAAUGCAGAAGAUGAAAAGAAAAUAUCAGAGAUCAAUGGUAUCAACCGAUCUAGAAUUUCUAGUACAUAUAGCAGCAAUUGGGAAUCCCAUUUUAGUGCUGUACACUUGGCUUUCUUCUGCAGCUAACUGGACCACCUACUUGAAUUUCUCGAGUCUGAGAGAGUAACAUCAGAGUAUGGCAGCAGACAAAUAUAACAUCAACAACUUCCAACCACAGUUAGUGCUGUACACAUGGCUUGCUUCUCUUGCAUCAUGUCAGAGCUCACAAACAAACAAUUUUCAAGCAAACCACGGACUAACCAACAGCUGCCAGCAGACAUGCAGUCUUCUAGCUAUCACUGUCAAAUCAAACAUCUCUUAAACUCGUAUGCAUCAUUGCUAACAAGAUCAAGAAAGGGAGAUUAUUGGUUGAUUAAUUUCGGGUUUCCUCCUUUUUCAUGCAUUGCCUGGCGGCUUUUGGAUAAUCUUGAGCGCAAGUCAUAAGGGAUUUGACUCUAGCUCAGGGACUAGUAUGCAUUGUAUCUGUUUACGUGUCAGCGAACCUGUUCACAGACAUUGGAUUAAGUUCUUAAGGAGGUUCCCAACGAGGACAGUUGUUGAACAAACCCACCUUUCUGAGAUGGGUGUUCAUUGACAAAAUCAAUAAUUGUGAUUCCAGAACCACUUCUGAUUAAAAGAAGCAUGGCCCAGGACGACAAACGUAGCAGUCUAGCGGCUUACUAGGUUUAAGGGGGAACUUGUCGAAUCAGAAAUGAUAGCAUUGGUUGUAAGUCAUACAAGCAUACAUUAGUUCAAGAAGAGCAGGUUUGGGUAAAGAAAAAGAAUUAACAGACAUAAACAAACAUUAUUAAUUUUAUACUUUAUUUAUCUGAUAUUGAACUCAAAUAAUAUUUUUGUGCUUCGAGAGGUGAUGUAAAUAUUUGUUGGGGUGAGCAUUUGGUUAGUUCACUUGGUUUAGUUUUAUAAUUUUAAAUAUCGAAUUUUUAUAAAAAAUAAUCAAAAUCAAUUGAAUUAUAAUAAAAAAUAAAAAUAAUCAAAAUCAAUUUAUUUUGAUCGAUUUGUUUGGUUACUUCGAUUUGAAUAGAAUUGAUUUUGAAGUUGAGUUCUAUUUUAAAAAUAUUAAUAAUAUUUAUAUAAAAGUUAUUAUUGAUAGUCAAUUUUUUGUUCGGCGUGGUUAUAAAUUUUAGAUUCUGAAAAUCGAUUGAUAUAAUUGAAUAAACUGUCUUUCAUAAUUAAUUAAUACCAAAUUCAAAAAAAUUGAUAGAAAUUAAUCGAGUUCAAUCAAACCGACUAACGUUCACCCGAGGCCCAAUAUUUCAUUUCAUCCAAAGAUUUCAGUAAAGGAAAGAAGGAAAAUUAAGGUUUAAGGGCUUUCAGUCUCAUGAUCAUUUUUGAAACAGUUGGACCUUUUAAUUCCCAAUAAAAGCCCAAUAAUUUACUAGGAUUGGGCUAAGCCCUCUUCACCAAAAACAGCCCAAGAAGAACUUUGACGCCUCGCUCCCCCAGGCCCGCAAAGCUACCUUGUUCUUCAAGUUCAGAGAGUAAAAUAGCCGAGGAAGGUGAAAGCUUGAAUCGAUUCUUCAAAAGAGAGGAAAGAGCUGCUUCAAUUCCAUAAAAAAGCAAGACGGAAACACUAAUCUACUCAUAGAAAUGGACUUCGUUACUGAACAAGGCAAACAGCCGCACGAAGAAUGCUCUACUUUGCUUCUGGUUCGCUCAUCUUUUCACUCCCCCCCCCCCCCCAACCUUAAUUAAUUCUUGAUUUUUUUAAUUAUUUUUUUUUGUUUUAGCCGGCGUUGUCGAUUGGGAAUGUGGGGCAGUUGGCAGUAGAUUUAUUAGUAUCAUCAAUGAAAGCAGAGAGAAUUGGGUACUUGGAUGAUCCUUUUGUGCUUCCCUGUGUUGGCAAUGAUGCUUAUGGGCCUAUUCCUUGCGGCGAGCUUGCCCUCCCUCUUGAAGGUGCUCUCUUUUACUCACAUUUUCCUCAAAUUCUUUGUUUUAGGAAUUUUGGGUUAAUGUAUUUGAACUCAAAUUUUUGUUGUUUCUUGAUUUUUUUUUUCAGCUUACCAAUCUUCUUCUAAUGGACUCACUCUUCUUCAACAGAGGUCUCCGGUUGUUAAGGUAUUGCUUGAAUUCAUAGUUUUAUUGACUCGAUUAUGAUGCACCUAAAUACUGGCAUGACCUUUAUGAUGGUUGAGUACUCGUGAUGGAUCUAGGGCCCUAUGGAAUCUUUUUCUUUUACUUGUCUUAACAUCCUGAGAAGUUACAAGUUUUCUUUUUGAGUAUGUGCAAUGAAUUUUUGUGUGAGUACUAUAAUCUUGAAGCUUCUCUGUUAAAGUGCUUCCCUUAAUAACUGAUUUAGAAUUUGAUGAUUUCACAAGCUAGUUUUCCUUGCUUAAACUGAACUAGAAGGAGAAGAGCUAUUUGAUGCAUAGUUAAUUUGAAUAUUGAUAGAAUUAUUUUUUUUAAAAUGGUCGUCUAUGCAGGGGAUGAUGGUUGAAUUUGCCAAAAACUUGGCAAAUUUUGCUGCUGCAAGUGGAAAGAAGCAUGUUGUUCUGCUUUCCAGUUUGGACUUUGGAAAAUGGCAGAAAAUAGACAUGUCAAGGUAUUUCAAGCUGUAAUUUUUCCUCGGUUAGUAAUUAAUAUAAUGUAUUUAGAUAACAUCAUUAUUUCCAGUUUCAAUGCAACCAUGCAUUUCUGGAUCUUUGAGAAUAUAGAUUAGUUGAUUUACUUCUGCUCUGGGAAAUCACCUUGGCAGCUGGUUAUGCCCAUUGUUCACCAGCAAUUAAGCAUUUUAUCAAUGCUGAUCUUUUGGCUGUGAUUUCAGUGGUCUGCAGAUAUAUUACGUAUCCAGCACCAAUCCUGAUGGAAGAGAUGAUCACUGUGAACAACUUGGAUGGAAAAGGCUGCAAGAAUACAAUCCUGCUCAGAGAUGUUGGAAGCAUCUUAGCACCUUAGCUGAAGGAAACACUAUGCUGGAAAACAAUUUGCCUUUUGAAGAUGAGCUGGAAGAGGAAGAUUAUUACCCAAGUUUGCCUUUUGCAGCACUUUUUUCUUGUUUCAAGGUAUUCUUCUUUUAAAUGCAUAAUUGGUUUGUACUGAACGUUGGGUGAGUCUGCCUUUUGCUGCAGUUUUUCCUUUUUCUUUUUUUGACUUUGCAUUAGUCCAGAGUUAAUUUGAUUAUUAAGUAACAUGCAAAAGUUUCCAUAUAUGAUGACCCCUACAUUUUGUCUGUGGCUUACUUUCUAAUUUUCGCUAUAGGCCAAAGGAUUGAAGGUUACAUGCUUAUUAUGCUAUUGUUCAGAAGGGGACAAUAUGCAGGAUGCUUUUAAUUUGGCUGAGGCAGCAUGCAGUCUAUUGGGGCUUAAUCCUAGUACUUUUCAUAGUAAGUUUCUUUUAUACUUAAGAUAUUGAUAUUGCCUGCAACAGCUACUCUGUGACAUCUUUUGACUUAAUAGGUAAUGGGAAUUAGGCCAGAAUUGAUAUACUGUUGAAUAGGACCCUUCCACCCUUGAUCAUGAGCAUUUUCUAAAUAAUUCAAAGUUUACAAAUGUAUUUUUUCACCAUUGUUGGUGUUUUUUUAUUAUGAACGUCAUCAAGUGCACUUCGUUGUAAGAAUAUCCUGUAUAUAUUACCUUUUCAUUUUCUUGCACAUGCUUUAGACUGCUAUGAUGAUACUUGACAUGAAGCAUCUCAAAUACAUCCUUGAGAAUUUAAAUAUAAGGGGUGUUCUCAGGUCUAUAUUUCUUGAUGCAUGGUUUCUUCUCUUUGAACAUUCACCUUGGAUUAUCUUUCACGGAAAGUUUUUGCUUUAGACAUGGAGGCAUAAUCUUUAAUCAUGGUCUUAGAAAUAUAGCAGACACUCUACCAAGAAUCUUAUACUUCAACUUUUGGUUUCUGGUAUGAAAACUUGCACUUAGGAUAAGGUUUUUUGAUACGGUUUCACAUCAGGAAAAAGGGUUUUAGCAUGAUUGUCUUGAAAACACUUCAGCAAUGCAUCAUCAUUUUGUGCAUUAUCAAAGUUCUCUUGGAACCGUGUGCACCUGCUAACGGACAUACAUCUCCAACGAGUGUUUCCUCUGCAACGAGAGAUAAUCAUUAAGCUGGAGGAAUAUGUCAAUUGCUUUAUUUUUAUUGUCUCAAUUUUCUUCAAAAUAAUAAUUGUUUCUGUUUUUCAACCAUGACUCUGACAUUAUCAUCGACAAUAUUUCUUUCUGAUAUAUGAUUCAACUGUACUAAUCUCUGAACUUGUUUCACUGGAAGAGACUAAUUUACCUAGGUGUUCUUGCUUUUAGCGAUGACCAUUUUUUUCCAUUGCUAUCCUUUUUUGGUCUCUUAACAUUUGCAGUAAGAAUUCGAAAUACGCACAAGUUUUUAUUUUAUUGUAUUAUCUUUUCAGGUAAUGGGAGUGGUAGUUGGCUAACCCCUUUAUCGUGGCAGACCGUCUAUGGACCACCGCCAGAUAUGUCAAUCUUUUAGGCUGGAGCUUAUCAUUUAUAGUCAACUUGACAAUUUGAUCAUCUGUAAAACGUUUGGUUUUGUUAGCAGAUAAGUAGAGAUAGUGUUGGCAUUGAUGGAACAAGGCCUGAGAAAAAUGCCCAACUGAUUACAUUUAUGUCAAUUUUUCUAAAAUGUUAAAACUUUUGCUCAGAAAUGGGUGAAUAACAGCCAGGAAUCUUUUUUUUUUCCCUCUUUGUCAAAUUUUUAUAUUCUAAAUUCCCUGAAAAAUCUUUCAUUUUGCGAAAAUUAGACAUGACAAUUCAUAUUUGAGUGUUUUGACUGUAUCAUAUUAUGAAUUAAACAUAUCAAAAUCUUAAUCAUGAAUAAGAAUAAGUUUAUUAAACAUAUAACAUGACACCAUAUAUCUAUUAACAUGACAAGCACGUGAGUGAAAUGUUGACUACUGUUUCAACGUUAUUGGUUUGACCGAAGGAUAUGCAAUUUGCUUUAUAUUUUCGGCCCGACAUCUGCUAAAAUUUUGGAAGCCCUUUUAAUCAUGUUCAUUUUUACAAUUAAUUUUUUUUAUUUUUUAUUUUAACAAAAAUUAAAUAAUAUCAUAUUUAAUAUCAAUGGAUAUUUUUUAUAUAUUUUUGUCGAUAAGAUAUAUGAUAAGAUAAUAUACUGAUAUAAAUUAUUACGUGAUUCUGUUAACUUUAUUUACUUAACCGAAUUACAAAACAACAGCUUGUAAUUUAAUUUUUGAAAAGUAAAUAUCAAAAGACAUUAUCAAAUAAAAUUUAUGGAAGGCAAAAUAAUUAAAAAAAUGAAGCAAAUGUUUGUUAGCAGACAGGAAUCUCUCAUACAAUCUUGGAAAGAGGUACAGCACAUGCAUGCAUUAAGCUAUUAAUCAAUAAUGAGAUGGGCAUUUUGACCCUGGAAAUCCAUAUGUGUACAUGGCUUAGCUAUGCCAAAUGUUGCAGGCAAAAUCCUCAGGAAUUUCGAAGUUUGAACUAAGCUAGGAUGUUGUUUGAAAAGAACAGCAGGAAGAUAUUCUGCAUUUACCAUUCUUACCAAAUAAAGUUACCCCAUUUUAACCAAAUCUGAUAUUACUUGCAAUGUACAUAAACUAAAGUCAUUUGGCUAUUAAUUGAUGCAUUAUCUCUUGAUUAAAGAGCAAAAUUCAAAUUCUCUUUUUUUUUAUUAUAUAAAAAAAAAACCAAAGUCAUUUUCUCACUUGCCAACCUUACAUAUAAUUUUAAAUUCCCUGGUUGAAUUUUUACCCUGGAUUUGUUAAAAUCUUGAGAAAAUUUUGAUGACUCACGCAAUUUAUAACUUGAAUGGUCCAAGACUCCCCAAAGAAGUACUGCUCCAAUUAUGAAUGCUGAGCAAUGUAGCAUAACUUUCACGUGGUUGUCUUGUCUGCUUCCUGCAGGUAUAUUAUUAGAGGUUACAGAGCCGUAGAUCUCAAAAUCAUUUACCUGAUAAACUCAAGCCCCCAACAAUGUCUUCCUCUUCUUCACAGCCCCCGGAGCUUCCACUGAAACCGGUUCCUGGAGACUGGGGGCAUUUCUUCUUUGGUGCAAUUCGAGACCGUUUAGCAUACUUCUACCAUGAAGGCAGGGACAAGUUCUUCGAGAACCGAAUCCAAAAGCAUCAAUCCACAGUCUUCAGAAUCAAUAUGCCUCCUGGCCCUUUCAUUUCCUCCUCCGCUCAAGUUAUUUGUCUUCUCGAUGCUAUCUCCUUUCCUGUCCUCUUCGACAGUUCCAAAGUCGAAAAACGUGAUGUUCUUGACGGUACUUUCUUGCCUUCCUUGGCUUACAGCGGUGGCCAUCGAGUCUGUGCUUACCUUGACCCUUCCGAGCCAAAGCACACCUCUCUGAAAUCCUUCUUCUUGGCUACUCUAGCGGCCCGCCAUAAUAACUUCAUACCCCUCUUUCGAACAGGCUUAUCAGAGCUUUUCAACGAGCUUGAAGCUAAAAUAUCUAGCAAAAAAGAAGCAUAUUUUAACACCCUGUGCGAUACCAUGUCUUUCAACUAUGUUUUUCGCCUCCUCUGUGACAAAAACCCGAGUGAAACACGGAUAGGAUCCAAAGGACCAAAACUUGUUGACAAAUGGUUAUUGUGUCAGCUUGCUCCACUUGGAUCACUAGGGUUGUUGCCAAACUUUCUAUGUCUUAUCGAAGAUCUUUUGUUGCGUACAUUUACUUUCCCAUUUUUUCUAGUUAAAUCUGAUUACAAGAAACUUUACGAUGCCUUCUCUGAGUUCGGAAGCUCAGUCUUGGAUGAAGCUGAAAAAUUCGGGAUAGAAAGAGAUGAAGCCUGUCACAACCUGGUUUUCCUUGCUGGUUUUAAUGCUUAUGGUGGCAUGAAAGUUCUGUUCCCUGGCCUGAUCAAGUGGGUUGCAUUAGCAGGAGAAAAGUUACACAAGAGGCUAGCUGAUGAAAUCAGGACCGUUGCCAAAGCUGAAGGUGGUGUCAGUUUCUCUGCCUUGGACAAGAUGGUUCUGACCAAAUCAGUGGUGUAUGAAUUUCUAAGGAUUGAUCCUCCCGUUCCUUUCCAGUACGCCAAAGCCAAGGCUGAUUUGGUAGUCCAAAGCCACGAUGCAGCCUUCGAGAUCAAGAAAGGGGAGAUGCUCUUUGGGUAUCAGCCGUUUGCCACCAGGGAUCCCAAGGUUUUCGAGAACCCGGAGGAGUUCGUGGCAGAUAGGUUCGUUGGGGACGGAGAGAAGCUUCUGAAGUAUGUUUAUUGGUCGAAUGGGCGUGAGACCGAGGAAUGCACGGCGGAGAACAAGCAAUGUGCCGGCAAAAAUCUGGUGAUGCUGCUGUGUAGAUUGUUGCUGGUGGAGCUUUUCCGUCGUUAUGACACGUUUGAGGUUGAGGCUGGGAUGUUCAUGUUCGCUGCAUCAGUGACGUUCAAGUCGUUGACUAAAGCCUCAAGCACUUGACACCAUACCGAUGGUCGCAUGAUCAUCAUAAAUUAACACUAGUCGCAUUUUAUUUGAUUACCCUUUUCAUGUUGAUUUCUCAGUUCUACAGUGUUUAUGUCCUAUACCUAUCUGUAAGUGGUAAUAAAAUUUUUUAAUUUAUCUCUUAAAACUGUUACCAAUACUUCGAAGAAUUGUAGCUGAUUCAAUUUGGGCAUGAAUUUUUAAUUAAGCAUAGGAUUUAUUAUCUUAAAAAAAUAGAAAAAUCUUUUAAUUUCAUAUAACUUCACAUAGACCGACCCUUCCACAUGGGGUGAGUAAAUGAGCAUUCACAGCCAACCACCUCGGUUUUGGAUUUUCCGUAUAGAAAACGACAUAGAGUUUUGGUAAUCGUAUGAUGUUUUCUUGAUCCAAUGAAUAGAAGAAAUAAUUAAGAAACAAUAAUAUUUUAAUUAAAUGUACAUAAAAUGUCAUGGGUAUUGUGAAAGGUCUUCGUAGAUGUUGACAAGUUGCAAAAGCUGAUCCAGAAAAUCAGAUUCAAUCAGAAAUUUUAUGAAAUUUGAUAGUUCUUGCUUACUUUUGUUUUUUAUUACUAGAAUAUUAUCUGUGUGCAACACAUGGACCUCUUUGCACCCCGUCUCUUUUGCUUCAACAUCUUUUCUCUUUCUCUCUAUUUGCCCUCGACGUGAUUCACUGACCCUUUUGCACCACUCUCUUUCUCUCUCUUUACCUCAACAUCUUUUCUCUUUUACUCUCUUUGUCCUCCACACGAUUAAUUCUAAAAAUCUCAAACUUUUUUUUAAGUAUUUACAAAAAUCACAAUUUUUCAUAUGACAAUUUAUGAGAAUAAAAAUAUGAUAAAAUAUCUUCAAAUUAUAUAAGUUAUAGAUAAAAGUAAAAAAUUUAUUUUUUUUUCUUUCAAUAUCUAUAAUUUAAUGCCAACACAUCAUCUUUACCAAUUAAAAAAUGUCCCAAACUCAAUACAAAAGUGAUACCCAAACUAAUGGGAAGGAUGGGAUUUCUUUAGGCUUUUGUGCUAGCAUUAAAGUAUUGAGUAAAUUACAAAGCAAAAAAAAUCAUGUUAUAUAUUAGAAAAAAAAUCAUGCUUUAUAUUAGAGUCAAAACAAAUUUAUUUUUAAAUCAUUUACAUAAAUUAUGAUUAAUUUCAGUUGAGAUAGGACCUAAUUUACCCUAACAUGAGCCUCCCUGUGGAAUUUCUCAUUUCAAAAGCAAAGAAACUAGCAAAGAAUCCUCUUUCUCCUUGGAUAGCAGUCAAAUCUUUUCUAUUAUUUUUUGAGUAAAAUACUCUAUAAUUUUUAAUUUUUAAUCAUAAUUAUACAUGAAUUUACUAGUUUGUGAAAUGGAUAUGUGCUCUCUGUUGAGCACCCAUCUAUACUCUCUAAGGUUCCAGAGGGCACCUAUCUAUGCUCCUUGGGAACAUGCCAAUGGUGCUCCCUAGGGAAUACUAAAACAGUGUUCCCAAAGAGCACCAUGUUGGGUGCUGGGACUACUCGAGAGAGGGUUUUUUUUUUAAUAAAAAAAGAUUAAAAAAUAAAAAUUAUAAUUUAUAUAAUAUAAUAAUUUUUAAAAUUAAUAAAAGAUAAAAAUAUUUUUUAAUAUUACUAUAUUAUUAAAUUAAAAAAAUAUUAAUGAGGGACUAACAACUGAAUUUAUAUAUAGUUAAUAAAAAAUAUUUUUUAAAAAUAAAUUUGUAUAAAAUUACAACUUAUUAUUAAUUAAGAGACACGGAUAUUUUACCUUUAGUUUUUUAAAUUAGCUUUGGCUAGGUGUCUCCUGGUGUCUAGUUUGGGUUGCAGGAAUUUGACAGAAUAAAUAAAGACUAACACUAACUGGCCCACUUAAUCACGUUUUCCAGGUCCUGAAAGAGGCUCCCUAACCUAUUGUAGUGUUAAUUUCCAGGAAGAGGGAAAUUUACAGAAGGGCCAAAAGCAAUAGUUGGUGGUCGGUCCCAUCAAGCAAAUCAAACUACAAUAAUUCAGGCUUUGGUUUGUCAUUUGUGAAUGGCACCAUAACUUUGUGUUUCUUUAUUUCUGUCAGCAUGUGUAUCUUCUCUUUUCAACCAUGUUUGCUAGGAAAGAAACAAUGGUGAAUCGACUGAAUUCUACCCAAAGAAAAAUUUUACUGUUUAGUAAUCUUGUUAUUUCAUGUGUGGGAAAGAAAACAAAAUUUUCUUCAGAAGUUUUAGAUGAAGGAUUAUCUCUCUUACUAAGCUAGCUUGGUAGCAAGAACCCUAACCCGUAAGACCGCGUGACAUGAACCCAGACUUUAGGUCGUGUUUGGUAUUUUAUCGUUGUAAUGUUUUACAUUAUUUAAAUUAAAAAUUUUAUCUUAAUAUUAGUAAAAAUUAUUCAUUGCAAGCAAGGGAUGGAAUACUUGCAGAAGACUUUUGAACAAGAUAUUUCUUUUUAAUGCAAACUGAUAUAUGAACACAUUAUAUCUUUAUUGUAUAGUUCUUUUCAGGGUCCAUAUGUAUCUUUAUGGUUGAUGCUGAUAAGUGAUAAGGCUUGUGAAUCAUUCUCAAGAGACCAGCAAAGAGAAGAAAUUUGACAAUCAAUUUGAAUCUUUCAAAGAAGCAUUUAAUUUUUUUUUUUGAAGUGAAUAAGGUCCCCCCCAAUUAUUGAAGGGACAUUUAUUUCAUUAAUUUGGAUGGUUUCUUUUAUCUCUUUUUUUUUUUUUGGUUUGAAUUAUGACAACUUAAUUUUAUUAAUUCAGUAAUCAGUUCAUAUAGUUUAUAAUCAUGUGUCAAUUUAUAACAUGUAAUUAAUCAUGAAAAGUACUUUUUGGAUUUUUUUUUUCAAGUGAAUAGAUAUCGAUGAUGAUGAGUUAGGUAUCCGAGUAGUUUGAAUUUUUUGAAAGUUAAGUUAUUUAAUAGUAAGGUAUUCAAAAUCUAACCCAAAUGUUCAAAAUUCUAUCAAAACUAUUCAUAAACUUAAUUGAAAUCGUUUAAUGACAUAGGUUAAUUAUCUUAAAUUGAAUAAUUAAGAUAUAUAACUAGGGUUUAUUGCUUUAUUUUAGUUUUUUUUUUAUAAUUUUAAUUUUAAUUUUUAAAUAAAUCAUAUAUUAUUUGAACUUGUUGGUUAAGGUGUGGAAAGAGUGAAAAAACUAGUGAAUAAAGUAGUUAAUCAUAUAUUAUUUUUUAAAUAAAUCAUAUAUUACCAUCUUUUGAAUAAAGUAGGAAUUAGUAGUUAGCAUCGUUAACAUUGGAACAUGCCAAAUAUUAACUUACUAAAACAAGAAAUACAAUCAUAACAUGUGGGUAGCUUAAAAGCUAAUUACCACAGCAAUGGCUUCUCAUCUAUCAAGAAACUUAAGCUUGAUAUUAAUGAUCAUCAUUAACUUAAGACGCUUAGAUUGAAAUUGAUUGAAUUCAAUUAAUUUGUUUGACUUUUGUAGUUUUGAUGAAGAGGAGGAGCAGUCUAUUCGACUGUCUUAAUCAAUUUUCGAUAUCUAAAAUUUAUAACCGAAUAAUUCAAAAAAUAGACUAUUAAUAAUAGAUUUUAAAUAAUAAAUAUUAUUAAAAUUUUAAAAUAUACCAUAAAAAUACUUCCUAUUCAAAUCAAAACAAAUCUACCGAAUCAAUUUAAAUAAGUUGAUUUCGAUUAUUUUUUUUAAAUUUUGAUCAAUUUCAAUUAUUUUUUAUAUUAAUUUAAUUCAAUUUUUAAAAUUUUAUGAUUUAACCGACAGACCAACCGAAUGCUCAUCUGUAAUGUAUCGAAGCCCUUGCAAUGAACUUGGAUUCAUUUUCCAUAAAAAAGGAUUGGUCCAAGUGUUGGGUUUUAGGGUUUAGCUUGAUAAUAAAGAACUUAAGCCCAUUAAAAUAAAUGGAGCUUCGCUCAAAGGCUAAGAUUUGAACCCUUAAUUAAUUCAAUAAUAAAGAGGACAAACUCUCUAAUCAACCUAUGCCACGUAACGAGGAUAAGAAUCAGAAUUUUCUAGUUGCUAUUGGCACAGCUGACGUGUAAACACUGUUUGGAUGGGAAUUAUAGCUUCAAUACGUGUCAAAAUUAUGGGAUGUUUGCUUCUGUCUUCUUCUAAUCCACAAAAGAACGAAAGAUGUUAAUUUUCCUCCAAAACAGCUGGAAGAGGACACGUAAUCGAAAAGGCUCAGCAACUUCUUCCACGUGGCACCUAAUACCCAGAACCCGACAAGGAUUUUCAAUGUCUAAACCCAGACAGUCAACUGUUUGGCUUGCUUUUCCAGCUCCUCGCUAGUUGUCUCUGUCGCAUUGUGAGCUUCGCUUCUUUUAUCUGUUUCUUCUUGUUAUUUUCUUUUGUUUGGGUAUUUACUAUUUAGUAACCAGGAGGCUGAAGAGGAGAAGGAAAAAUGAUGGGGAAGAAGAGUUUUUUGGCAAUGAGGGCUGAGCAGGAAGCAAGUGAUCUGAUCAGUUCUGAUUUCAAAGAGCUAGUCUUUGCUGCCAAGAAGCUUGCUAAUCAUGCUAUCAAGUUGGGUUCUUUGGGAUUUGGGACUUCAAUUCUUGAAUGGAUCGCUUCCUUUGCUGCAAUGUAUGCCACUCUCUUUGCUCAAAUCUUCGUUUUUCAGAUUUCUGUUUUUCUUUUUCUGUGCUGUUAGGCUCAUGGUGAUCCCAAACCAAUCACCCGAUCGAAUGUGAUUAACUGUGGAUUUUCUUCUGAGUGAAGGGAAUUCUCCAGAUUUGACAGUUUUACUAAUAUCUUUUUUGAACUGGAUUGGAAUUUGAAUGUUUUAUAGUUCUCAUGUUGGAAUAUUGUUUACCUGUAUGAACUUUUGAGGAUCUUUUUUUUUUGAAAUGUAAACUUUUUAGGAUCUUGUUUUUGCCUUUGCUUUCUCUGAUUCAUUAUCAGGGGAGUUCUUUCUUUUGUCUAAAAAGUUUCUUGUUGCUCUUGGUCAUUGUGGGUAUUUUACCCUAGGGAAUUUUCCUGAUCCUACCCUUACUCUUUAAUGAGGAGUGGCCUCCUGCAAGUAUAGGUAGCCUGUUUAAGAAGCACAUCUUCCCUCUUCCCUCUUCCCAAAUUUCCAAUUUCCCUUUUUUAGACUAAAAAAUAUUGAUACCUAUGCUUAUUUCAGUAGUUCAGGAAUUCUUUUUUUUUUUUUUGAAAGUUAGUAGUUCAGGAAUUCUAAUGGUUUACUUUGUUCCUAUCUUAUGCUUGAUGCAGUUAUCUAUUGAUCCUGGACCGAACAAAUUGGAAAACAAAUAUUCUUACAGGAUUAUUAAUCCCAUAUAUCUUCUUGAGUCUUCCUUCAUUAUUGUUCAACCUCUUCAGGUAAAUCCAUUCUGCGGGCAGCACCGGUUCUUGUAGCUCAAGUGUUCUUUUUUCAUUUCCAUUUUAAUAAAUUGUUUUGUCAUGCAGGGGAGAGGUUGGAAAAUGGAUCGCUUUUGUUGCAGUUGUUUUGCGCUUGUUCUUCCCUAGACGUUUCCCAGGUAUGAUAUUGAUGUAAUCCCUCUGUUACUUUGGUCAUGCUUGAGUGCUAUCAUCUGGUAAUUCACUAGGAUCUUUGUUUUGGCUUGUCAUAUUUGAACUAUUAUGCAGUAAAAUAGUUGGUGACUUUGGGGUUUACUAACCGAACUGUUUGCUUUUGCAUCUUCAAUUUGAUUGAAAAUCUAAGUAGUUAUGUUAGACAACUAUGAUGGUAUUCGAAAUUUGUGGUAACCGGUUGUUACUUUUUACUGGAAACUGCAGAUUGGCUGGAACUGCCUGCUGCUUUGAUUCUUCUAAUAGUGGUGGCUCCUAGCUUAUUUUCAAGCACCAUAAGAAACGACUGGAUUGGUGUGGUAAUAUGCCUUGCCAUUGCUUGCUACCUGCUUCAGGAACACAUCAGAGCAUCGGGUGGGUUUCGAAAUUCUUUUACCAAAGCGCAUGGAAUAUCAAACACGGUUGGCAUAAUUCUUCUGUUGGUCUACCCGGCGUGGGCUUUGGUAACUGACAUCCUAUAGGUUCGAGGAUCAGCAGCUUGUCGGUUGCUUUUAGUUUUCUGAAGUUCAUGAAUUGUUUCCCCUUGUACCAUCCAUUAUUUGUCUAGACAUACAAAUUCAUUGUCAGUUUUGUGCCAUAAGACAUGGUUUUUCUGUUUGCUUUGGUGCAUUCGUAGGAAUUCCUUGUUUAAAGGAUUUAUCAUAGUAUUACUUUAUUAUUGUUGUAGAAAGAAUAUUUCUUUGACUGGCUUGAGGAACCUUGAAACACUGUUUGUAUUCCUGUAGAAAAACUGAAUGUUAAGACAGAAAUGUUCAUCCAUUUUCGCUUUGUUCCUGGAAUUUAAGCUUUAACAAACAUGUUGAUGUAAGAAGGUUUGAUACUCAGGACUUAAUAAACCCUGAAAUGCUGGUGAUAAUGAUACUUGAAAGAUAUGGAUGCCAAGUUUGCUGAGUUCAUUCAUUUAGUUUGCACUGCAGAAAUGUGUAGCAGAAUUAAAGAAGCCUGCAUAUCCCAAAUUCAUCAACGAAAUUGUACCUUCUGAAUAGACACUGGCAAGUAAUAAACAGAAAGCUUCUGAUAAUUUUUUAUUUAUGUACCAACACUAACAGAGAUCAGUUUUCAACUUCAGUUUUAAGUACUAUAACUUUUCCUUCAAUAAAUUUUCAAACAAACAGAAACAAGUUUCAGCAACUGCUGGUAAUCGACAGCUGAAUAUCAGGGUCUUGCUUCUCGGAACUGCUCUCAUACCUUUGACCCCUUUGCUUCACUGUACAGUUGAUCGAUGCGGUCCUGCAGAUGAUGUUGGCAUAUGAUACAAAUCAAGUCUUUGCGAAAAAUAUAAGGUCCCAAGGAAUUAUUUGUUUGUGGAUCAGAUUUCAUGGCGUUAAAAGCAAUAGAAAAGAUGGAUAAGAAAAGCAUAUUUUUACCUUGUAGUAUUUGAGCAGCUGUGGCCUCUUCAGCUUAAAUGUUGGGGUUAUGAGAUCCCUCUCCAUGUCAAAGGGAGUUGGUUCCAAGUACACUGCUUUUAACAUCUCAAAGCCUCUAAGCUGUGCAAGCACAAAUGUUGCAUCAGUCGAGGAAAAAAUGAUUUGAUAUUGUUUUAAUUUGCAGAGCUAGGAAGAAGAAACUGCGAGGAAAUUUUAUCCACUUACUUGAUGUUUCUGACCAGUGCUAUUUAGCUCGUCUAGAAUGUACUUCCUUGCCUUACGGUUUUCACACAAUGAUUUGAAAUCAACAGCUUCAUCAUGUUCCGUCGCCCAAUCCUCUAGUGCCUUUCUUUCAGGGACUACCACAGCCACAAGAAAUGACUCAAAGCUGUUCCCAUAAACCCAGAUCUGACCAUUGGAAAGAUUAAGAAACUCACGUUUAGAGCAAUGUCAAAAAUGUCUGAUGCUUAUAUGUUAUGGUAGAAAUGAGACGUUCUAGUUUGUAGCAAUUCCAGUUGUGCAGUAUAUCAGCAAAGCCAAGCACAAGAUCCAGACAGCAACAUACCGAUGUUAUAUGAGGGCAACGUGAGUAUGUAUUUUCAACGUUCUCCACAGCAACGUAUUCGCCUUGCGAAAGCUUGAAUAUGUUCUUUUUCCUGUCAAUGAUUUUCAUCGAUCCAUCUGGUUGCAGCUCCCCAAUGUCACCUGUAACAAUAUCAACAUGUUGAGGAAUCAAACAGUUGAGUUUCUGCAUAUUGUUACUCUGAUGCAAAUUUGAAGGUCUUAUACCUGUGUGAAACCACCCAUCGACAAGAACUUCAUCAGUUAGAUCUUGCCUCUUGUAGUAACCUGAGAACAAGGUGUUUCCCCUAAGGCAUAUUUCUCCUCGUGGCACACUGGACAAUGCAUCAUAUCCCAUCUCUGGCACUGACUCAAGCCUUGCUUCAAUGGUUGUCAUGGGAACUCCAACAGUUCCGAUCAUAGACAUUACAUUGGCGAGGGAAGUAAAACAUCCACCGCAGCUCUCAGUCAAACCUGUCAUGUUAAGAAAUCAGAAGAUAGCAAAGAGGAAUUUUCAUAAGGUAAUAAUCACUUCUUACCAUAUCCCUGUGAUAAAUUAGAGCAGCAGGAGACCCGCAGAAAUUCCUCCACAUGCCUAGGCAAAGGUGCUGCACCCGAUAACAUUAUACGAACUUUGCCUCCCAAUGCUUGUCUUACCUACAAGAAUUAAAUCAUUUUCAGCAAGUAAAACAGGAAUCUUAGUUAGAAUGUACAAAAGACGUGUAGAUGAGAAACCUUGUCAAAGACCAGUUUGUCCAAGAGAGGGGAUGCUUUGUCUUGCGGGAAUCCAAUCUCCAUAUUUCCUAAUUUGCUGUUUGAAGCUUUUCCAUCAGUUGGACAGUAGACUUACAAUCGAGAAAAAUCCAACAAAGGGGUUUACCAUAAAACUUACUAGUUAUAGGCAUACUGGAACAACUUAUUCCGAAUUGCACCACCAGAUGAAAUUUUGUUAACAAUACCUUCAAGCACAAGUUUCCAUGGAUAUUGCUUAGAACAACUGGUAUCAAUACAAUAUCAAGUUACAUAAUGGUUCAGAAAGAUAGUUAUCUGUAUGUACCAGUGUAUAUACGGUCAUAAACUCUUGGAACCCCACAAAAUGCAGUUGGCUUUAGUUCCUGAACAUCUUCCAUUAGAUAACGGACAUCCUGCAAGUAAAGGAGAACUGGAUUGGAUGACUUUGUACUAAAGAGAGAAAAGGACAAUGGAAAAGUGUACAGAUUAUGGCAAUCUUAAUCUUACCCCUUGCCAAAAUCCUAUGGAGGAACCCCUUUUGAUGAAAUAGGUUUCCAUUAUCUGAUCAUAUACAUGCGCCAGAGGAAGGAAGGAAAAAUAUGUAUCUUCCUCGGAACACUGUAAUGGAAAAUCAUAUCACCAAAAUGGAAAUUCUUGCAAGCUCAAUGUGGGAAAAAGAAAAACAGCAUAUGAGUUGAUUAUGCAUCUUUAUCCCUAACAAGAUUUAAGUUUAUGUCUGCAUUCUCACCGCUCUGUCUGUAAUGUCUAUGAGUUGAUCUAUGGACAACACUUCUGUCAUGAUUGCCCUGUUUGUGAGAAUGACUCCUUUUGGUUCUCCUGUUGUUCCACUAGUAUACAUUAUUGUGCAUAUGUUAGUCUUCUGUUUUGGAGGAAGUUCACAAUCCAAUGAGCCCUGGGGAAUCAUUAGACAGCAGGUGAAAUUUUUGUAACAAUCUGAUUGAAUUGAUCCCAGAGAAACAUUGUUCUGAUCAUGACACGAGGGCACAACUAUAUCAUCAUCUUACCAGCUCAGAGAACUCCUUCCAAGAAAAGAGAGAUACCCCAAGUUCUUCAGCUUCCUUCUUCUGUGUGCUAGAAACAUAUGAAAAGCUGACAAUAGCUGGAGAAAGAAGAUAAGUAGUUUAGGAAUCAAAUGGCCUUCAACAUUCAAAAAACAGAGUGGAAUAUUUUCACUUACUUUUUAGGUAGGAGGAACAUGCUGGAAGGCAUGAUAGAAUCUGCACAGGAUCACAAAUUGUGAACAAAACUAAUACGAAACCCUUCUAAAAGAAAACCACAUAGCUUCGGUUGCAAUGAAAACUUACUGCAGGGAGCUUGUUCUCUUGAACAAAGGCUAUUGAAACUUCAGCAUGGUUAAUGAUGAACUCCACUGCAUUAGCACCUGCAACAAAGUAAAGAAACCAGAUAAAUCACCACCUCAAAUGAAUCGAAGAAUGACAGAUAACGGCAAUGCUUCCAGCUUAUUACUAAUCAUCAGACCUCAAAAUGGAUUAAGAGAAAGAUGUCAUACCAAGAGUAUCAUAUAGCGGUACAUAUGUGACAGCUUGACUGUUACAAGCCUGUAGAAAAAGGGGAAAACAAGUACUUAUUGCCUUGAUCAAAAAGUAAGUUAAAUUGGCAGAAUAAAAACUAGGCAUACCUCCAUAGCAAUGAUCCAUUCUGGACAAUUUGACCCAUAUAUACCACAGCGGUCUCCCUAUACAUGACCAUGAAUGUUUUGUUAAACUUCAGAAGAUCUAAAUGAAGUUAAAUUAGGAUUAAAAUUAUGUUUAACUGAUGGACUGCAGGCUUACAGGGUUGACACCAAGGCUCCUCAUGGCAGAACCAAUUCUAACAGCUGCAUCAUAAGCCUCCUGGUAUGUGAUCCAUACGUAAGGACCAGCUUGCUGCAAAACCAAAUGAAAAUUUUAUGCACUUUGGCAUCUUCCAGGGAACUACAUACUUUUUUUUUUCUAAUUAUGUUUUCUUUUUUAAAUAAUAAAUUAUUCUAAUUAUAAUCAACAAAGUAAAAUCCAAAAUAAUUAUUUACGACUGGAGUGAUCAAUUGACAAAACAUAUCUAUAUUGCCAAAAUUGUAUCAUGUCAAUAGCUUUUACAAUUGAAUAUUCACACUCUUUAAUGAUUAUCUCCAAUCAGACAUUUAAGGAAAAUAUAAAGAUUAAAUUCGUCGUAAAUUAUGGUAUAAAUACUAAAUCUUCAACUUUAUUCUCUGGCAAUAAAUUACAUGAGGAUGAAUGCAGUGUACCUUAGAAUCUGUGGUUUGUCGUCGACCCAACAUUCGACUAUUUGGAAUCCUUUUAACAGAAUCACUGCAAGGACAAUACUGCAAUUCAAUUUCUCAGAACAAGUAUAACCAUAGAAAUAAAAUUAGACAUCUGGCCUAUUAGCUCAGUUGGUUAGAGCGUCGUGCUAAUAACGCGAAGGUCGCAGGUUCGAGACCUGCAUGGGCCAAUAUAUUUUUAGUAACAAGAAUUAUUUCCUUGUUCCUUGUUCCCAACAAUAAAAGCAGAAAAAUCCCAUAAAAAAAUCCACCCAAAGAAGAAAUGAAAGUGAUAACUAAGUUCUUUCUUUUAGUGGUUGAUUCCCCAAGAUGUGCAACCUUCACAUUUCUUUCAUCACAUCAAGGACCUUAGAUGCCAAGAAAGAUCUUCUAGAUUUUGUUGAUCUAAUCAGACUAAAACAAAAACUUUGCAAAAUCAGUUCUAAAAAAGAAGAAAAAAAUGGUAGCAACCAUUGAUCUUUUAGCACCCAUAAGAUGCUGAUCAAGAACACUCACCUAAAGAACUCCCAUGGAGAAUGCUUUCCCUCAGGCAAAUCCAGGAGACCAUCUUUAGCAUAUAUGCACCUAUAAACAGGCCCUGCAGACGGCUUUUUCUCGGUUGCAGGCCUUGAUUCUUCAACCUCUACAGCAUAUGCGACAGACAUUGUUUACCUCAAUGCCAAAGACUAUUGCCAAAGAACCCUUGUGGUUUGCACCCAAAGAUCAAGAGAAAUUUAUGUAAGAAAACCCUGUGACAUGUGACAAGCUUUGAUGAUAAUUUAACCACCAGAGGAGAGAGACUGAAAGACGGAAGGGAGGGGAGGUGGGACCGUUGGUUGAGCUGCUGCAAUAAUUCCAAGAUGAGCAUUUGCUAGGAGAGGAGACGUCUGAGCAAAUUUAUAUAACUGCGUUUAAGCGUGGAUUUAUGAACCAAAUCGAAGUCUUGGUUGUCCCAUGCAACAGGUUGGACACCGGAAUAAUUAAAAGCCUUUGCCUCUUUAUUUAUUAUGGUGGAUGAAGGUUGGUGAAUGACUCUUGAAUAUGCAGUAGUCUUCUCUGUCUAAUGUCCUUCUUACGUUGUAAACACCACUCUGUUUGUCUUUAAAUGUUAAUAAAAAUAUAAUACGUAUAUCAAUAUCCCAUACUCAUUUUUUUCUUUAAUUAGUUCAAGAUUUGAUUAACCUACCAAGACUUUCCUUGCAUAUUCAUAGACAGAUAAUCUAAAGUCUUAGGGUUUUAGUUAGUUUGGUGUUUUAAUUUAAUUAUAAUUAAAGCAAGUAUGCAUGCAUAUAAACAUAGUAGUAUAUCUUUUGCACACUUUCCUAAUUAAACUUGACAUUGGACCACUUUAAUGUUGAGGAAAUAUAAUGCAAAAAACUUAUAGGUUUAGGGUUUUUUCCUAUAUCUUUUUGUGUUUUUUGGUGGAAUUUGAACAAAGUAUAAACAAGAGUUGAGAUUAUGGAUGAACAUGUUAAGACUUUGGGACAUUGGUAGGUGAUAGGGGCAAUGAAUGCUGCUGACCAAAUAAGGAGGCCAUUAAUGCUUUUUAAAAGUAGUGACUUUAUAACAUAAGGUAUAUUGUAUUUUUUUUUUAUCAAAUUGGAGAACAGAUAAUACAUGAAUCACGAAAAUCUUUUUAUAAACAUUAAUAUUGAAUUAAUUGUUUUAGUACAUAAAAUUCAUAUUGUUACAGGUUUUUAUUUAAGAAAAUCAUAAUUUGAUACGUGUGGAAUUAUCAUACUUACGAUCAAUUAUAUUGUAUUAAAUGUGAAAAUAAUUUUUUUUUAAAAAAACAAAAUCUAAAAAGUCUUAAGCAUUUAGCUUAGUUGUUUCUUUUGUUUCUCAAAGAAACUUUGACAAGAACAAUGUUGGGUUUUUGAACCUUCAUUAUGAGCACCAGUGUUUUCAUGCUUAUAAUCAAUGGGAAGUGACUGAUGUUGAAGUAAUUAAACUAACUGGCCUUGGAUCAUUAAUGAUUAAACUACUUUUAGUGACAUUAAAUAUUUGUCUGAACAGUACAGGGUCUUGGCUGGGCUGCCUCCACAAACCAUUAGACUAGGCCAAGCCCAGUCUUCAAUAUCGAUGAGAAUCAUAGCCUUUUUGCUAAUUUGAUCAUUCUACUUUCAAAUUUGUCCUAGAAGCUCUUGCUAAAAUCAUCAUUGUCGUUAAAAAAAUAUGUUUAAUCGUAUUCAAAUUCAUUCACCUUUUGCACCAUAUGAAAAAAGUAUAUUAAAAUUACGUCAAAUUAACAUAAUCGUACGAAUUCGUCUUGCUUUUGAAUUCAUAAUUUUUAUGUAUUUUGGAUAAAACGUUAAUUUAACAUUAGUGAUUUAUAAAUAAUAACGUUUUUAAGCAAAGAAGUGAAAUGCAUACUUCAUUGGAAAAACACUGGUUGCCUUCUGGCAUGAGUUUUAUGAAGCAAAAAUGUACAAAAUUUUUGUAAUUAGUCAAAAUUUACAAGUGAUAGCUUACAAGUUGCAAAUACUUAUACAAUGACUCUUCAAAAUAGCCAAAACUUUACCACCAAAUAACCAAAUGAUUUGGGUUUACUAGUUCAUAUAUAAAAUUCUUUACUUCAACAUGAUAUUUGACCUUAGUUUAUUGCUACAUAUAUACCUAAUAUUAACCUUAUUUCCAUUUAUUCACCAUGCACCGGAUCCACCUCGACGUUGGCAUCGACCCUAGCUUGACAUCGAUCCUGACCCCGACAUCGAUCUCGACUUGACGACAUUAUCCCCUUCAAGAUUGGCAGCGAGACAUUGUGAAAUUGAAUUAAAUAUGGGCAGCAAAUGUUAAGUACUACUUAUUUUGUGAUAAAGGUUAAAGAGAAAGGCCAAAAAGAAAAAUGAUGUAGUAUUUAAUGUUAUCUAGUGAUAAAGUUUAAAGUUGUGCAAAUCUCACGAGGAAGACAACUUUUAGUUUCUUAAUUUGUCAUUUUGCUAAGGAACUUUAGACUGAGUAAAAUCUCUUAAAUAAAGGGUAAAAAAUCCACACAAAAUCAUCACCAUGCCCAAAAGUCAAAUCUUCAAUGUCUAUUUAAUGCACUGUCAAUAUAUAGAUAAUCUAUAUAUUAAAUACCGUGAAUCAAAUAUUACUGUCUGGUUCUUAAAAUAAAUUUAAUACUAAGAAACUUUAAAAAACUCAUUAAAAAAUUCGAAUGAAUUAAUUUGAGUUAAUUUAUUAUUUAUUAGUUUGAUAGAGAAAGCAGAGUUAAAAAGUCUAAAAUUGCCACUAAGUAUGGUAUGAAAGAGAUAACACGCUUCUCGGCCUGUCUUCCAUUUCUUGGAAGAUCGUCACUGAUGUGGGUCACCACAUCAAAAUCUUCUUUUUCCAUUUUGCUCAUCAUUUUUUUUUUCUCAUAUUGGAGUCAAAUGUUUUAGGCUACAAAAAUAGACCUUUACCUCCAUUCCCCCAAUAAUCACAAGCCACGUGAGAGGAAUUGCUUACGUGUCAGAAAGAGAAAACAUGGAAAUCCGAUUGCUAGAGAUGAUCAUCCGUAGUGGAUCAAACCUCCUUGCUAGCCUUAAAUUCACCAAUGUCGACGUGUCGUGUACCCGCCAUCUUGCAUCGACAAGUCGUUGGGUGAGACCAGACAGAACAGAACAGUCAACUCUUCGGACAUUAAACCCCUCAAACCCCCCUCCCUUUCCAAACUUCUAACGCCAGACUCCAGAAACAACAACCCCACCACCACCACUCUUACGAAAUCACUACCAUCGCCGGUCAUGGGGUUCACCACCUGGGCCCCAUCUCCAUCCCCGACUCCUUCCUCUUCUCCCUCGUCAUCACCACCGCCGUCGUCAUCGUCAUCUACGUCAUCUUCGUCGUCGUCAUCGUCAUCACCGCCGCCUUCGAAGCUUCCAGUUGAUUUCAGCCCACCGUUGAUCGCCAUGGUGGUGGUAGUCGCUGCAGCGUUUUUAAUCGUUACAUAUUCACGUCUCAUCUCCAAACGACUCGUCCCUCCAAUCCUCCGCCUCCUCCGCUUCUUUCGACGUCGCCGUCGCCGUCGUCGUUACCUCCCAUCCACCACUACGGACCUCGACUCUCUUCCACCCUCCGAUCCAUUCGAACUCCCUCUUUCUCCUUAUGGCCUCGAUGACUCCGCCAUAAAAACCCUGCCUCUUUCGCUCUACACUUCGAAAACAAAACCCCACAACAGCCCCAAAGACUGUGCUGUUUGCUUGUUGGAGUUCGAAGACGAUGAAUACGUCCGAACACUUCCCGUUUGCUCCCAUGCCUUCCACGUUGAUUGCAUCGAUGCUUGGUUAAAGUCACAUGCUAAUUGCCCGCUUUGUAGAGCUGGAAUCUUCGCUACAGAAUCUCCGUUUACUCCGUUAAUGGCAGCCAGAAUCCGUCCGAGCCUCGACGACACCGUUUUACCCAACAGCACUCUGGAUUCCCUAACGGAAACUCCUUUCCAAACUCUUCCGAAUAACACCAUAACGGAAAUAACCGAAGAGCCGUCACCAAGAAGAGCGAAUGGGAAUAGUAAUUGUGAGGAAAGGUUUAAUUUUGUUUUGAAAAGGUCGUAUUCGUUUGGUUUCGAGAGGAGUUUAGCGGCAGAGAGGAUGAUAACGGAGCCCAACACGGCGUCGCCUUGGAGAUAUAGGAGAGGAGGGAACGGGUUUUGGAGCAAACGGGCGUCGCCCUUUGGGUCGUUAAUGACGAAACCGAGGGUUUUCUCUUUUAGGUAUUACAGAGGGAUGAAAGCUUCGCCAUUUUUUCGACGGAGAGGGUUUUUCCCAUUGUCGGAAUCAAGUGUCAGAUUUACUGGAAGUGGCGGCGGCGGCUCGUCGAGGAGAACCAAGUCAAUGGCGAGUCCCAUGUUUUUAAGAUCAGCGGCUUCCAGUGUGGCGGCUUUUUCAUCAAGUCGGCUCAGGUGCGGGGAUCCCGAGGCACUACUGUCACCGGAGAGGUUCAACAGAAGAUAAAAAAAGAGAAAAAAGAAAGAGAAAACUCUUUCCGAGAAAAGAAAGAAGAAGACAGUGGGACACGUGGAAUGUUGGAUCGAGAGAUCGACGGGAAAGGGGCGGUAGGAGAUUGGGGUCCGGUGACAUUAAUGGGAAACAAGCAUGCAAAGCAGAGUUAAUGCAUGAGAGAGAGAUAAAGAGAGAGGGCGAGAGAGAACGGUCGGGCUCUGGCAAUCGAGUCGAAAAAGGGGAGAAGCAUUAAUGGGAGGUGGGGAGAGGCAUUAAAUGAGAAAAUUGACGAGAGAGAGACACGAUUUUCUGAGCUUUCUCUUUCUCUUUCUCUUCUCCAAGCUUAAAGCCUUCACUAGAGAAAGAUAAAAAAAAACAAAAACCCAACAAGGAAAAGAGCUCAUAAAUGCUGAGAGGUUGAGACUUCAGAUGAUUCAUGGAAGGAAAGGGUUCUCUUAUAUGGGACUGCUGUUGGUUUGGGUUGGGUUUGGUUUGGUUUGAUUUGGUGUUUUCCUCUUUGUCUUGCUACCGACAGAAGUCCAUGUUGGGAUGCGAACAUGGUCAGUUUUUUUGACACAACCCGGAUCAUGUGCUUGCCAUGUGGGCAUGGACCGCACCCAUCUGGUUUUAUUUAUUGAUUGAUUGAUGAGAAGGGGUAGCAGGGGAAAACAAUGGCAGAGAGAGAGUAAUGAGGAGUGUAGUCACUUCUUCUUUUGUGCUGCUCAUUUACCAGGGGUGGUUCAUUUUGUCCAUUCCAUUUGGUUUGGUCACUUCUUUGAAUUCAAUGCAGAUUAUACUGGGAAUUGGAGACAUUAAUUUGGGCUUUCCAUGCCUCUCUUCUAUUGCUUCCACUUUUGUAUAUACACACCACAUCUUUUUCUCCUCUUUAUUCAUGCAUAUUGCUAACUUGUAAUGUCAUUGUUCUACUCUUAAAGACACGUUCAGUUUGCAGAAUAAAGAUAAGGAUGUAAAAGAAAUAAAACAUUCAUUUUGCGAGUACAGAAUAUAUAAAAAAAUAAUUAUUUUAUGAAGUAAUUUGAUUUAUAGAAUGAAAAAGAAACAAAAUAGUAUUAGGGUAUGUAAAGAAUACGUAGAAAAUAUCUUGUCUAUGGUAUGUUUUGUCAUUGUUUCCCAUGAAAUAUUUCAUUCACGAAAUAGAAAUAUAAAUAAAUAAAUAAAUCAUUCUAUGAUAAUAUAAGAAGAGUAAUUAUCUUAUAAUUUGAUUUUAUGAAAUGAUACGUUUUAUAUAUUUAGUUAAUGAAAAACAAGUAAAAUAUAAGUAUGGGAUAAGUACAAAAAUACCUUUUGUACAAGAAAAACAAUGUACCUUCUACUUGGAAUUGUUCAUUUAACCAUUGGUAAGUGAUAAAAAAAUAAAAAAAUAAAAAGAGAAAGAAAAAGAAAAUAAUAGGGGGAAAGGGACCUCAUUGACCACGCACGUGUUUGGUCAAGAGAUCCAAAGAGGCACGUGCCACAACGCUUUCCCCUUGAAAAUGCCCUCGAACGCUAAACCCCUCCCUUAAACCCUCCAGAUUGGAAAGUCGAACCAGAAAAAGCCAGACGCAGCUAGGGUUUCAGCUUCUCUCUCCGUCGACCCAGGCUCGAACAGAAAGCCGAGGGAAAUCCAAUCGAAGCAGCGAUGUUCCCAGGAAUGUUCAUGCGCAAACCAGACAAGGGGGCGGCCUUGAAGCAGCUGAAGGCACACGGGGCUAUGUUUGGGGUAUGGGUAGCUGUGGUUCGUGUCACUCCUUACAUUCUUCAUUACCUCUCUGAUGACAAGGAAGAGCUCAAGCUCGAGUUCUAGAUGCCUCUUUCUCAUUCUUUUCAGGUAAUUUAAACACUUGGAUUUUAUUUUUAUCACCAAUCAUUUUUCUUGUACUAGGACUAGUUUUGGGAACUGGGUAUUUUUUUUUCAUGUGGAUUUUUGACAGAUACGAAUUAUUAUAUCUGGGUUGAAUGCCAAUUUUUGAAAUUCUUUUAUGUGUCAAAUCAAUGAAAUGUAGUUUAUUGUAACUAGCAAAGCAACAACCAAACACAGCCUUUAGUAUUUGUAUGCUCAAGACAUGUUCAGGGAGAUUAUUUAUCUAAGGAGUGAUGGCAAUGAUAUGAGAGAUUUUAGACAUGGCUAAUUUGAUGUAACUGAAAGUUUCUGUAAAUAGAUAUAUUCAGGAAGGCGAUGAAAUUUUGGAAUAUGGAUUAGGAAUUCAUUCUUUGAAUGGAGUGUAAAAGCAUCCUCUUUGUCCAUAGGAAAUGAUUUCGGAAAGAUAUAUAGUAAUUUGGGAGGAGGAUGCCUUGUCAUUGUGGUUUGAGGUGGACUACCCUCCCUGAUGGGGCACUUUUAAUUUCCUUAAUGUCAUUUUUAUUAAAUGUUGGCAGCAGAUUCAUUGGCUUGGGAUGGUUUCUUUUAUUAACAACGUUUUUGGAUUGUGUUAUAGUAGCACGGAAAGUCAUUCUGCCUAUCCAUUUGCUUAAUACUGUUCCUUAGUGCCUUUCCCUUGGCGAAUAAGAGUAGAAAUGUAGAAUGACAUAUACAUGACUGAUUAUUUUGCCAAACUUGCAUAGCUGUAAAUACACCCAAUUUAGUUGCUCAGUUUUUUCAUGGUUUUUUAGAACUUUCUUUGUUUUUUUUGUUCCAAAAAGAUAUCAUUUGUUAAAAGUAGUUGCCUUGUCUUCAGUUUCCAUGUUGUCAGGAAAUUAUGUAAUGCGCUAUUUUUUUGUAUAUGAUGCCUUGCCAUUGUUGUUGACAACUUUUAUGGUUGCAAUUCAAAUAGACAAUAUUGUUUCAUUUUUCUUUGUGAUCUUGCAUAGGAUAAUGAGAACAAGUGCACCUUCAGGUUAUAGCUUGUAAAUUGCAUGUAGUUGCAUUUAGUGGUUGAGAAAACAGAUUGCUUCAUAUGGUAACCAUGGGAAUCAUGUAGUAGCCACAUCCUGCCUUUUAUCUUGUUGUGUUACUUAUCAUGGUGAUGCCACUAGCUAGUGGAAGAGACUUUAGUUGUCUUUUAUAUGAUGGUUUAUUGUUAAAGUAGUCAUUUUAGCUCUUAGCUAGCAUGUCUCCCUCAUUCACUUUACUGGGGUUUUGUUUUAUCUUGUUUGUUGCUGAUCUUUCCUCCUUUUGUGGUGCAGUGGGUCUAUAAGGAGAGAAUUGGAUUGGGAUGCAAAAGAGUUUCAAGUACUUGAUUCCUUUUCAGCCUGCUUAAGUAUGAGACCGUGGUGUUAUCACAUUAGGUUAUAUUUGCAUUUGCUUUGAUCAUGGUUAUUAGAUUUUUUAUUGAAACGGAGGCUGGAAUACUUCCAUAUUAUGUCAUGACGGUUAUAUCUAAUUGAAUAUACUUUUGAAUUUCUUGCUUGUGGCAUAGGAAGAUGAUAUAUCGCCAUUGGCAUAAUUGCCUUUGGCUGGAAAAAUGGGAAAAUUUUCUUUUUCUUCUUUGCCCUUCCCUCAAAUUAUUGAAUAACCUAUGAUUUUAUUUUAUUCCUUCCUUGGCUUUUUGUGUAAGGGAAUUAAUUGCCAAGUUUGUUUGGGGAAAAAUACAAAAAACAAGGUAGGGACUGGGGAUUAGAUCUGAUAAUAGCAUAGCAGCUACUCAGAAACAUAUCAUAUGCAGCUGCUUAGUUUUCUGAACCAUUGGUUGAGCCUUCUGCUGCAAUGUCCUCAUCAAAAUUUAUCUGGUUUUCUGUUGGCAUUUUACUUUUGAAAGUGAUAGCACUCGAUGAUGCAGUAAUGGAUCAAAUCUGUAGAGGCUAAGGUGACCUGAGCAACAGAUAAUACUAAUAAAUAGAAUUUGGAUGCUUCAGCUUGCCAUUGCACCUUUAAAUUCCUGCAUUUACUUACUUUAGUACCAUUUUGUUUUAUUUAGAAGGAGAUUCGAAUCUUGUGUGUUGAGUAACCGAACACAUUUUGUGUCGGUCUUGUGUUCAGAACUUUUAAUGAAUUUUCUGCUGGGAAGUUUGAGAAUCUCCAAAAUUGGGCUUAGAGGUAAGGCAUGCAAGGCGAUCUGCAUUGAGCUCUCGAUCAGCAAGUUCUUGCCGACAGGUACUAAUGUAGAAUGUUGCUAGCUAUAAGUAACCUAUUCAUAUAGCAAGACAUGGGAUGUCUGCCAUCAACAAUGUAAGAGAAAAGGGAAUCUCCAACUGCAACCUUAACAUUGAUUUUGCUGUAGAAGGGGCGUGGCAAUGGCAUCAUCUUUUCCCACUAACAAGGGAGUCAGUAAAGCUAUGACAUGUGGAAAGUCCACAACCCUUCUUUUAAAAGCAUCGGCUCACCUUGUUCCUCCAGUCCUAUGCACAUUAUUUCCACUAGGAUUUUACCUUCUUUUUUUUUUUAUAGAUUUCCUAAUGCUCUUGGCCUUGACAAAAGUAGCUGCUUUUGGCCCCCAUCUCAUGAUGCUCCCAUUUUCCUACCAACCAUAGAAUAAGAAUUGAGGAAAGAAUAAAUAGUUGUCAAAAUGUACUAAUCUUCCUUUUGAACAUAAUUUUUUUUCUUUUUUAUUUGAGAAUGAGGGGAAUGGUAAAUUUAAGCUAUGAUGGUCACCUCCUUUCUAGUGAAUAGACACAACACAGUUAUGACACAGUGACAGUUUGAAAAUAACAAAACUACAAAUUUCAGCCAGAACAAUCUCUCCUCCCAGUCUCAAUUGUGAGCCUUAAGCACGAGAACGUGCCACCCAAUAGAACAAACAGAACCCCCAGCGUCAAAUUCAGCAUAAUUAAAGCACCACAAAAGGCAAAGCUUUCCAUAAUAGUCCAAAACUCCUCACUCUGAAACCUUGCCGGGGGACUUCAAUAACUUCCUUGUUCUUUCUUUGAUAAGCAAAUCAGCAUUCGUAGUUUCUUUGAUUUCAUGCAAGGAGAUUAACAAGGCGAAGAAUGUUGUGCCAGCGUUGGGUAUGGUUGGAUCACAUGCAUCAUCAUUGAUCGUACAUCCGUUGUUGUAGUGCACUUUUUUGGAUUGAUUUAGAUGACAAAUUCGGUGCUAAGAUGAGCCUGAGAAUUUUCCCAGAUAUCAAAGAAGAAGAAGAAGAAGAAGAAGAAGGUUCGAUGCAACAAGGCCAUGAAUGAGGUACCUGGCUCUGUGGGCACUAGUGCUGGCUUUUCUCUGAGAUUGGCACAGGCCCUUUUUUCUUCUGCUUCUCUUCUCUUCAUGUCUUUGGGAGUUGAGUUCUACAGCUACACUGCUUUCUGGUACGUCCCUAGUUUCAUUUCUUCUGCUUGUUUGAUAUGAUUUCGUGGCUCUCUACUUUUGUAUUUGUACCCAGCGAUCAUCCCAUGUAACACAUCUUUGAUCCAAUCAGCAACGAAAAAUUAUGCAUAAAACCUGCCUUUGAUUCCCCUAUGAAUUCUAUAUUUACCGAAUACCUGUCGCUCAAGACAAAAUUUGGGUUUCCAUGGAUUCUGCAGUAGAAUUUUCCUCUCUGAAAUUUCUGCCUGAUCUAUUACAAAUAGCAAUCAGAUUCUGUAGAUUCUCCUCCCGCAAUGUGAAAGAAAUUGUUUAUUGCCACUUUGUAAUUCC